rnacentral:lncRNA from 1 species
UUUUCAAUGCUAGAUGGUUGGAUCUCUCCAAGAACUUGUUUUCAGGCUCAAUUUCUUUAUCGUGUGGGACUCCUAAUCAGCCUAGUUGGGGUUUGUCUCAUCUUGACCUCUCAAAUAAUCGACUAUCAGGAGAACUACCCAAUUGUUGGGAGCAGUGGAAAGAUUUAAUUGUUCUUGAUUUGGCAAAUAAUAAUUUUUCUGGGAAAAUUAAAAAUUCGAUUGGCUUGUUACAUCAGAUGCAAACAUUGCAUUUAUGUAACAAUAGUUUUACUGGAGCACUGCCUUCGUCCUUAAAGAACUGCAGAGCUUUGCGUCUUAUAGAUUUGGGAAAAAAUAAAUUGUCAGGAAAAAUAACCGCAUGGAUGGGAGGAAGCCUGUCAGAUUUGAUCGUUCUCAACCUAAGAUCUAAUGAAUUUAAUGGAAGCAUACCUUCAAGUCUUUGUCAACUGAAACAGAUUCAAAUGUUGGACCUCUCUAGCAACAAUCUAUCAGGAAAGAUACCAAAAUGUCUCAAAAAUUUAACUGCCAUGGCUCAAAAAGGAAGUCCGGUCCUUUCUUACGAAACAAUUUACAAUUUGAGUAUCCCAUAUCACUAUGUUGAUAGUACAUUGGUUCAAUGGAAAGGAAAAGAACAAGAGUACAAGAAAACUCUUAGAUUCAUUAAGAGCAUUGAUUUUUCAAGAAACCAAUUAAUUGGUGAAAUUCCAAUAGAAGUAACUGAUUUGGUAGAAUUGGUGUCUUUGAAUUUAUCAAGAAACAAUUUGAUUGGAUCAAUCCCUACAACAAUUGGUCAAUUGAAAUUAUUGGAUGUUCUUGAUCUAUCUCAAAACCAACUUAAUGGUAGAAUUCCGGAUACUCUUUCUCAAAUAGCCGAUCUAAGUGUUUUAGACCUAUCAAAUAACACCUUGUCAGGUAAAAUUCCAUUAGGCACUCAAUUACAAAGCUUUGAUGCCUCCACAUAUGAGGGAAAUCCUGGACUUUGUGGACCACCUCUUUUGAUAAGGUGUCCUGAAGAUGAACUUGGGGGAGUCUCCUUCACUAGUGGUCUUAGUAGUAAAAAAGAGGACAUUCAAGAUGAUGCAAAUAAUAUAUGGUUUUAUGGAAAUAUUGUUCUUGGAUUCAUCAUCGGAUUUUGGGGAGUUUGCGGCACUUUACUAUUCAAUAGUUCAUGGAGAUAUGCCUAUUUCCAAUUGUUGAGCAAGAUAAAGGAUUGGUUGUACAUGACAACAAUAGUAAAUAUGAAUAGAAUACGAAGGAGCCUGCAAGGUUAAAUGGUAAGACUUCUCAAAUUCUCUUUUUAGUUUUUCUGGUAAAAUGUGUUAACUUCUAUUUAUUAUCCAACAGUUAAGAAUAAAAAGUACACUUUAUGCUACUACUCAAAUCCCUCUUCUAUUAUUUGAUUGACCUUCCACAAUAUAUUGAUGAAAGCUUAGAUUUUGCAAAUAGAAGCAUCGAUAAAAUAAGCAAGCGUAGAAGAUUUUAAUAUACUUUUUUGUAAUAGUUGUGCAUAUUUAGCUUUCAUCAUGUAAAGAUUAAUCUUAUAGGCCGAGGAUCAUAGUUGAAGAAUGAUUAUUUGUAUUUUUAUUUCUAUCUUACUUCAAGUUACAAUUUUUUCUUUUAAAUGUUAAGUUAAUUUGUUGUCUUCAAAUAUUAUAAGUACAUUAAAAGUUCAAUUGUAAGUAACAUACUAAAACCUUCAUUUCUACUAAUCAAGAAGAGUCGCAACUAAGAAAUUAUUCCAAAUUGAUGAGCGUUGUUGCAUUUCAUCUUUGUAUUACAGGACUUCAGCUGGGUUGCAUCUCAAGGAUUAGUAGGUGAUAUAUGCUUUUGAGUAACGGGAGUAUUUAUGAUGGGAUAGUUACAUGCCUUAAUGCAAAAGCUUGUCAUCGGAUAAAUGACAUCAACAUGUAUUAAGUUUGCUUAUUUGGUAGUUAGCUUGGCUUUAAGUUUCUCGUGUUAUAUUCUAUUUAGAACUUUUUAAACAUUAAUUUUUGCUAUUAUAUGUACGACUUUGUAUUUUGUUGCUCUAAAAUUUAUUUGUUAUUUUUGUAGAAUCAAAUAUUAGAGGCCUUUGUAGGGGGUGCUAAAAAAAUACUUCAUCUUAGAAAAAUAUUUUUUUUUUUGCUCAAAAACAAAGUUUAUUUUUUGGGAAAUGCAAUGUGAUAAUACCCAUUAGUAUGAAAUGUGGGAUAUGCUACUACUGAAAACAGAGCACUCUGUUUUUUUGGUGCUCAAGCAUGAAAGCUCCUGUAACACAGAGAGGUCUGAUUUCCAACCGUGAAUCAAAUUGCUUAAGGUACUCCAUAUGCAGAUUGCUGGAAGUCACUUUGGGCAUCAAUCAUCUUCAAGGGACGAUGAUGAUGGGAAUUGGAUCAACGGCGGUAAAGACCAACUAUGGAAAGUUUGCUAAAAAGCUCCCAUUUCUUUAUUUUGGUUUCUGCUUUUGUAAAUAACAAUGUUAUCCAAAAUUUGUGUUGGUUGCUCAAGUUUUGUAAAAGCUAUUCAACCAAUACAAAUCGCUACAUAAUAUGCAUUUUGCCGAAGAUCUGUGAUGAUUUGGAGCUCUCUCCAAUGCCAUACCAGGUUACAACUGAAACAAGCAUCUUAUUUAGGAAUAGUUAACAACAACGAAGAACUGCAAUUUAUAUUUGUGUUUUUUGUUCCACUGAAUAUUGCAGUAAUCAACUUAUGGAAGAAGUUGGAGCUGUUGGAGAAGAAAGUGCUCUUCAUGUUUGCUCAAACAAUUCAGAGGGAAGUUUAGCUUUUGCUUUGGUAGUUGUGAAGUUGCAAACUGUUAUUAGAAUAAGAAGCCUCUACUUUUGCUUGUUACUGAAUAUGAAUUUUUUUUUUAAGAAGUAAAUUUGCUAAUUAUUGUUCUUUUUCUUAGGCACCCAAGAAAAGAGUAUGUACUUUUAGCAAAGACCAAGAGGAAACUAUUAGAGCUUCAUUUGAGCAGUGAGUGCUUAAUUUGUUCUUUUUUGUGGCAUAUGCAUGUAGUCUUAAAUUUGAUUUCCCUCUGCAUAAUUGAUGCUGAAUAUUGUGAUUUUGGAAAGAUUAAUGCUAGUCUCCUUUUCGUCUUUUAAAUUAAAUUAGAUUUGUUUACGUAUAGGUUUAAAGACCAUAAAAGGUGCACCUACAUGAUUGUAAGUGCUCUAGAUGGUGAUGGUACGUUCACAGCUGCCCAAGUUUCCCAUAAGCUCAAGCAACAAUUUGCUUGUGUUCCUCAUCAAAAAAAGAGUUGAAGACAACUUGCAUUUGAGAGAUGAAGAUCUUAAUGGUUGUGAUAUAGCCAAAGCACAGGAUUCCAAUGAUGAAACAUUGUUUUCACUAAGAAAAAGGUAACUAUAUCUUUAUGAAUUUCAUGCAAUUUUGUGAAUUAAUCUUAUUUGUGUGAUAUCCCACAUCGAAUGAGGGGAAAACUAUUAUAUAUACAUAUAUAGGUUCUCUUAGACACGUUUUAAAACUCAUGAGGGCCCCUUAAGCCCAUAAUAGAUAAUAACUACAUAGUUAGCAGUGGAUCGUUAUAGCUUGUAUGCAAACUUUAUCACAUACUUGCAUCUUUGUGGUUGCAGACUUGUAGUGUAUUUGCAUUUGCUUGCAUUUGUCAAGUACUAUACUUUGGUGAUGAAAUCAUAAAUUCAUGACACUCAAGACUUAAUCCAAUUGACAUGUUUUUUUUUUUACUAAAUACAAUAACUAAUUCUUAAGUUAUAAAUUAUAUCACCAAAUUAUUUUUUUACAAUAUAUAGUUUAUUUCAAAUUUUAUUUUAUUUUUCUUCACCUCUUAGGUUUAUCACUUUACAUUACAAAAUAAAAUAAAUUGCAAUUUCCCUUUUCACAAGAUUUUUAUUUUUACAAAAUAUUCAAUAUUUUCCAACUUUUAUAAAAUAAUUUCCGAAAUUAUAUAAUCGGCUGUUAUAAAGAUUUUAAAUUUUUGUGUUGUCAUGGGAUUAUUUUGUUGGCAUGCUUGACCCAGUUGGUAACUUAGGUUUUUUUUUUUUUUUUAAUUCGCCUGACCUUCACAUGUGGCCUAUUACCAUUGGUGGAAAAUUGUGGGUAAGGUGAGAUUUCGGUACCCAAGCUUGACCAUAUAUAUCUGUGAAUUACGCAGAAGACUCGAAAAGUCAAAGGAAAAAUCCUGGGAACCAAGCUGGAAAACACAGGACUGUUAUUUCAGGGAAGGUGUACGUUUGGGGGCAUAUUACAGCUUGGGUACUGAACAAGAGGCAUGUAAGAAGUCUGGCCAUGGAUGCAGAAGAAGAAAAGCAAAGUAAAACCCACAUCCAUGGACAGUUGGUAGAGAUAAACCACAAUCAGGAGAAACGAAUACGCCACGAAGAAACAAAGGCACAGAAUCUGACAACUGGGUUUGCGGUCGUCCAAGUUUUAAUUCUCAACACACUGGUGAUCAACAAGCCAUCCGGCAGAUGCGAACACUGGUGGGUGCCAUUCUCUCUCUCCUUAUCAGUCGGUGUGAUUUAUUUCGUCACCAUUUUUGAGGUAGUGAAGAAAUGCUACCUUCUGCUCUACCAUUUGGACGUCAACUACAUGGAGCAAGAAGCCAUUCUUCUGGAAAUGCAUGGGGGUGCUUCGUCCCGGCGACAUGAUCAGCCAUUGAAGCCAGAUGUGGUGAAGCUCCUGAGGCGUAAAGCUUAUAUCACGAUACUGAUUUCUGCCAUGCUCGCCUUUCAAGCUCUGAUGCUCCACGCCUGCAGCUCCUUUCUUUGCAACUGAGAUUAACCAUUAGCUAUGUUCACAUGUGAUUAAUGCUCUUGCCGUUUUAAAUACAUAAGAAUAAUGUUGUUUCAAAAAUCGUUUGCUUAUAUUUAAAUACUAUUUUCUCUUUUCCAACUGUCCUUACAAAUAGUCUUAUGCUUAGUAGUAGAAAAAAAAAAAAUAUUAAGAUGAAAAUUAUGUAAUUCAAAUUGAAUGCAUCAAUGGAACCGAAAUUAUUCAUCGUGAAAUUUAUUUACAUCGUUUUUCUUUCCAAAGUAUUUUCUAGUUGGAAAGAAAAUUCCAACAUUGCAAUUUUCGUUAGAAAAACGGGACAAAUUAUAAAAGAAAAGAAAAAUCAAUCUCAAAUACCAAUAUUAAAAUGAUUUAUCUAUUUAUCAACACAAUUUGAGUGGAAGAAAUAAAGACACGUGGAAAUCUAUAUAUCAGGAAUCAAAUAGGGUCAAGAAUGGGUUCCAACAAGAACCAUCAAUGGGCUGCCCAAUCAAUAACAAAAGGCCCUCGAUGGGUCUCAUGGGCCAAACAAAAUGGAGCCAGCACACAAUAAGUUUAAACCCAAAUAAAAAUUUCAAGUACAUAUUUUCAAUCCCAUUUAUAAUUUAUUCAUUUAAAUUAGAAAUCUAUAUAUCAAGAAUCAAAUUAGAGAGACCAAAAUUAACAUAUCAGAGUAGAAAUCUUUACAAUCAAAUUUCUUUUUUAUAAAUUUAAAAAUAUUUUCUAUAACUAAUUUAGAUUAGCAAAAAAGAAAAAAAAAAUCUUCAUCGGACCACACAUGUGAUACACUUUGGUAGUUGUUUUUAAAUUUCAAUAAACAUUCUUACAUCAAAAGUAUAAAAAAAACUAAAAAAAAAAAGGAAAUGUUUAGGAAAGUUUGAUUUUAUUGUAGAAAUUAAACAAAAAAAAGUUAAAUAUAAUUAAAAUUAGUAAAAAAAACUUAAAUAUUUUUAGAUUAUUUUAAGUUUGAUGUAAAGUAUAAAAAUAAUUUUUUAAUUUUAAAUCAAUUUUUUUUCUUUGCUUCUAUUUUUUUCUUUAUUUUUUUUUCUUUUCCUCACAUUUUUUCUUUCACUCCUGAGGAACCAAACAUAACCUAAAAGUUUUAAAUAUAUAAAAAAAAACUUCAUAUUAUAUAUAUAAGGGUUGUUAUUAUAUUGAUUUAUAUAAGUACAAUAUGAUUUUUUUUUUUUUUAUAACCGUGGAUGUUCGGGCCAGCUUACGCGCACCUCGACUAAUCCCACGGGGCCCUGAAGUUAACGACCGGGUAAACCUCCAGUGGCCCUGAGGGGACUCGAACUGGUGACCAUAAGGGAGCAAACCCAAGGCCGGACCAACUGAGUUACCCCUCAGGGUUAUAAGUACAAUAUGAUUAUUCAAAUCAUAUUACAUGUAUAGAAUACGAGAAAUCAAGUUGUGUCAUACUCAAAAUUUCAACAUGAUAGAUAUAGCUUUUGAAGACUUUUCCUUUGCGAUUAAUUCUUAUACUUGGAAUUUGUUUAGGUAGGGUAGGGUUUUUGGAAGUUUGUUCGCAAUUUUCUCAUACUUGGAAACAAUUUCCAAAGGAAUGGUCAGAGAAAGGAACUAAACAAAUAGAAGAUUGAAACGGACUAGAUAGACCCUCACCUGCACCGAAGGUUUGUAUGAUCUUCGUGGACCGCAGGCCGCAUGGCCUUCUCAAGCCUCCAUGCCUUGCUUUUCCGCUUAUAAAGAACAGCCAAAAAGGACUUGACUGAUCUGAAAAAUCAGUGGCCGGAAAAGCGAGCUCGACACGGAGAAACAAUUGCCCAUGCAGUUUGGGAGAUCACAGAGCGAACUGUUGGAGUCUGGGCUUUUGUUUCUUCGUGUCGAUCUCGCUUCCCUUUAUGGCAGAGCUUUUCUCACCCUUCAGACACUCUCCUCCCAAACCAACCUCUCACAGCUUCAAUGCAGCUCACAUCCUCCUCACCGGCGCAUGGUGGUUACUACACUAUCCAGAUGCUGCAGCAGCCCACUUCCCUCAGCCUUGGACUCAUCUACAACUUGCCCGACUCUUACAUCACCUCGUUGCAGUCUUACACCAACUACUCCUACUGGUCUGGACCCGAUAUAUCAAACGUAACAGGCGAUGUAGUCGCGGUUUUAGACAGGGCGGGGAGCUUUGGGAUCAUGUAUGGGUCAUCAUCUGAUGGGGCGGUUUAUGUUUACAAAAGUGAUACUGAUGAGAAAGGGCUGUCUUCGUCGUGUGAAUCAGAUAGUUAGGCCAUUAGUUCUUCGAAGACUGAUACUCGAGAUGAAUGGGAAUUUGAGGCUGUAUCGUUGGGACGAUGAUGUGAACUGCACUCGCCAAUGGGUGCCUGAAUGGGCUGCAGUUUCUAACCCAUGUGAUAUUGCUGGGGUUUGCGGAAAUGGGGUGUGUAGCUUGGACAGAAGCAAGACUAAUGCCUCCUGUACAUGCCUGCCGGGGGCUUCUAAGGUGGGAGACAGCGGCCAGUGCUCAGAGAAUUCGUCGGUGUCAGCUGGGAAAUGUGAUAAUAAUCAUCGGAAUUCAACUGCUUCCAAGCUGAAGAUGUCUAUAGUACAGCAAACUAACUACUAUUACCCUGAAUCUUCGAUUAUAGCAAAUUAUAGUAACAUGUCCCAAUUGUCAAAGUGUGGGGAUGCUUGUUUAUCAGACUGUGAUUGUGUUGCUUCCGUGUAUGGGCCGAGUGAGGAAAAGCCUUACUGUUGGCUGCUGAACAGCUUGGAGUUCGGUGGAUUCGAGGACACGAGUUCGACGUUGUUUGUGAAGGUUGGGCCUAAUGGGUCACCUGAAGACAAAGCAACAGGAUCUGGGGAUUCAUCUGAUGGCCUCCGGGACAAGGUCUUGGUUCUUCCAAUUGUUCUCAGCAUGACUGUCCUUGUAGCACUCCUCUGCCUGUUGUUAUAUCACACUCUGUACAGAAGGAGGGCCUUGAAGAGAUCCCUGGAAAGCUCCUUGAGUGUGUCCGGUGCGCCAAUGAAUUUCAGUUACCGCAAUUUGCAGUCCAGAACCGGCAAUUUUUCGCAGUUGCUCGGCACAGGUCAGCAUGUACAUAUACAUAUACUUUGAAAGGGAUGAAAUUGUUUGAACAAAGCCAGUUGGACUUGAUCAAUUUGGAUUAAUGUUGUCUUCUCUUUUUUUCAGGAGGGUUUGGGAGUGUAUACAAGGGAAGCCUUUCAGAUGAGGCAUUGGUUGCAGUGAAGAAGCUUGACAAGGUUUUGUCUCAUGGGGAGAAGGAAUUCAUAACUGAAGUGAACACCAUUGGCUCUAUGCAUCACAUGAACCUGGUUCGCCUAUGUGGCUACUGCUCGGAAGGCUCUCACCGGUAUGCAUUUCAUUUCAUCGCCUAAAACCAAUUACCACUAACCAUAAUUAAAUUCUUGUCAUCCUCUUUUGUGGUCAAGCAUACUAUAUUUUCGAGCUUAUAAUGGGGUUGGAAUUUGAUGAUUCUUCACAGGCUUCUGGUUUAUGAGUUCAUGAAAAAUGGUUCCUUGGACAAGUGGAUAUUCCCCUCAAAGCAUUGCCGGGACAGACUGCUAGAUUGGGGAACUCGUUUCCAUAUAGCCAUUGCUACUGCACAAGGGAUUGCUUAUUUUCAUGAGCAGUGCAGGAAUCGGAUAAUCCACUGCGAUAUCAAGCCUGAAAACAUACUUCUAGAUGAGAAUUUCUGUCCAAAAGUUUCAGACUUUGGACUAGCAAAGCUGAUGGGCAGAGAGCAUUCACAUGUUGUCACUAUGGUGAGAGGAACUAGGGGCUAUCUGGCUCCAGAAUGGGUUAGCAACCGGCCUAUUACUGUAAAAGCCGAUGUCUACAGUUACGGAAUGCUUCUCCUGGAGAUUGUUGGUGGCCGGAGAAACCUUGACAUGACCUUUGAUGCAGAAGACUUCUUCUAUCCUGGGUGGGCUUUUAAGGUAUAGAUCAAUCAAGUUCUUGCUUCUGUAAAUCACAAAUUGUUAAGUGUUUGAUAUUUUAUUAACGAAAAUGCCAAUUCCUCUAGGAAAUGAGUAAUGGGACGACAAGAAAAGUUGCAGACAGGCGACUGGAAGGGGCAGUGGAGGAAGAGGAGCUAGAAAGAGCAUUGAAAACUGGCUUUUGGUGCAUUCAAGAUGAGGUUUUCAUGAGGCCUUCAAUGGGGGAAGUGGUGAAGAUGUUGGAAGGAUCACUUGAAAUCAACACACCGCCAAUGCCACAGACAGUUCUGGAGCUCAUGGAGGAGGGCUUAGACAAUGUAUACAGAGCCAUGAAGAGAGAGUUCAACCAGUCCAGCUUCUUCACCAUCAAUAAUAGUACCCAUCCUUCAUCAAGGGCUACAUGUAGUUAUUCCACAAUGUCACCUAGAUAGCAAAGGAGAAAUGGAACAAAUUUUGUUGUUGUCCCGGAAUUUUAUCACCUUGAUAGAUACUGUCCAGAAACAUAAUUCUUAUUGAUCAAUUGUUACCAUACAUACUAAUGGGCAAUGAAAUUAGUAGAGAACUUUGCAUAGGUUGAGGUACGAAAAUCUCGGUCUUUUAAAGGAGAUUUAAGCCAUUUCUGGUUUGACAAUUUGAGAAAUUGGUGUAUUUGACUUCUCUUUGAUUUGUCCCCACAAGGAUACGAUAGUCGGCCAAGUGAUUUGUUGCAUAGCUCACAUCAAUAUGCAUAAAGCAUAGAACUUAAGGCUUCACAAAGAAAAAAAAAAAAAAGAAGAAGAAAGGAAGAAGAUAACUAAAAAAAGUCUAAAAAACAUGACAUUAGGAGGAUGAGUCAAAAGACUCAUCAUAAAGUUUAAAAUCUUCAACAAUUUUGAAAGAAUUCAAUCUAGCUCUUUAAUUUUUAUAAGCUAAAUCCCAUUGACAUAAAUGAUAUUUAAUACUUCUCAAUUCCCAUAAUUGUAACUACAAAUUCAAUAAUCCAUUAUGCCAACUUUAAUCCCCUUAACUUUCAUAUAUAACCAUAAUGUUGGUAGCUAGUUUACAUUGAUAACUUUGUUCCAAACUUGUUGGAUCUAACUCUAAUAUUUAAUUACUUCAUGUGACUUACAUUGGACUUGAAAACUUGAAAUUUUUAUCAAUUCCUCCUUAAGGUCAUUCUGGUAACUAUGAUUAAGUUUGUUCGGGUGAAUAAUGACAUCAAAAGGUAUAUGCUGGUUUUUAUUAGAUGAUGUGAAAAUAAUAGGGAAAAAAAGAAAAAAAGAAUCGGAUUUUGAUGAGCAAUCAAGUGAUCCUUAUGAGUGCUUAAGUGCCCAUAACGACUUUACAUAAUUUUUUACUAAUUUUCUUAUUCCAUUUUUUCAUGAUAUUUUUCCGCUACGAUUUUUAAGAUUAUGAUUACACCUUAUGUUAUUGAUUUGAUAUAUGUUUUUUAGAGCUAUAUGCUAUUAUUCUCUAAGAGCCCCAUCGUGGAUUAAGUUUAGUUUGUGGUGAUUUCUUUCAUUAAGGAAUACUCUCUCUCUCUCUCUAAUUGGGAAAUAUCAUCGAUAUGUUGGUGGACAUUGAAGUGAAAUAUAGGAUAGUUUGUGGUGAUUUCUUUCAUUAAGGAAUACUCUCUCUCUCUCUAAUUGGGAAACAUCAUUGAUAUGUUGGUGGACAUUGAAGUGACAUAAGGGGAGAUGGAUAGAUAUUGAAGUGACAUAUAGGGGAGAUAUAUCCAUCUACUGAAGUUUCGGUUAUUUUUUAAAAAUUUGAUAUUUUUGCCAUUCACAUAUUUAAGAGAAUAAAAUAUAAAAGAGUUAAAUAUCUUAUUCCUCGUAAAAUUGAAAUUUCAACUUUUGAAAUGUCAAAUUACAAAAUUAUAAAACACAUUAAAUUUUGAUAUGCCUUAGAAAAAAAACAUAUUUAAUUCAUUUUUUUUUAAUUUUCUUUGUUAUCUUAUUAAUUAAGUUAGCAAAUUACAUUAAAAAUCAAAUAACAAUGGAUCAAUUAAAAGAUAUAACACUAUGUUCGGUUGUCUAAGAUUUGAAAGUAAUGACAACAAAAAGAAAACAAAGAAAAAAAUAAAAAUAAAAAUAAAAAAAAUAAAAAAAUAUUUAAAAUUAAUAAAUUAUUUUUACAUCUUAAUAAAUUAUUUUUACAUAAUUCUUUAUUCAUUCCACUUAUUUAUACUCUUUUAUAUAAAAAUUAAAUAAUUUUAAAAAUAUAUAAAAUUUUAAUUAAUUUUAAUUAUAUUUGAUUUUUCUUUACACUUUUUUAGAGUUAAUUUUGUUCACCUUCUAGAGCUUUGGGUUAAAUAUAUUUAGUCACCUUGAGUUUAAAAUUUUAUCAAAUAUCUUUCUUCCUUUUUUUUUGAGUUAGAGGUAGGGGCAUAACUUGAGCGGAUAGGCCCUACUCAACCUGAUGUUUGAAUAGCUUGAACAAUUAUUUUCAAUACUUGAGUUGUGAUAGAUUAAAUAUUUUCAAUUCGAGCUCAAUUUGGACGACUAAAGAUUCAAACAACUCAAACCUAAUCCAAAUUGGAUUUAAUAUUUUUAUAAUAUUUAUAAUAUAAAAUAUCAAAUAUUAUUAUUACAUAUCAUAUCUUGAAAUUUUGUUCUAUUAAUUAUUUAAAUUUUGACAUAAAUAUAUGAGUUUAUUAUACUUUACCCCUAUAACCUAUAACUUGUUUUACACAUUGUUCCAUCAAGUUCAAAAUUGAGUAAUGUACCUUCCAUAUUUAAUAACUGUACGUAAUGUGCAUUUUUUUUAAAGACAACUUUAUUUUUUGGACGGAAAGGUACGUGCUCUCCGCGUGAUUGAGGGUAAAAGUGUCUUUUUUCCUUUGCAACUCCCUCUCUCGAUCAUUACUCCCCUUUGGAACCCCAAAUUGUAGCCCGCUUCUUCCUGACCCGUUCUUCUUUCCUUCCUUCAAAGCCUUAGAAUGUGAAUCCCAAAAAGUUGCUACUGAAGCCCUAGAAAAUUUCUCAUGUUUGUAGGGUGGAAAUGUUUCUCCAAAUUUCCCUAAAAAAUUGCCCAAAAAUUUCCCCAGUUUUUUGAAACACAAAAACAAAACCCCAACCCUAAACUAGAAGCAUAACAAAAAAAAUUUAAACCCUAACAUAAAAACCCUAGCCCUCAAUUGGCCCUAGUUUUAUUCAACCAUAAAUCCCCCAAAUUUCCCCUGAAAAUUGCCUUUAAAUUUCUACAAAAUUUCCCCCAAAAUUCUCCUAGUUUUCUUAAACAUGAAAAUGAAACCCUAACCUUGAACUAAAAUCAUAACAUAAAAAUUUAAACCCUAACAUGAAAACCCUAACCCUCAAUUUGCCUGAGUUUUAUUCUUCCAUAAUUUCCACAAAAUUUCCCCAAAUUUUCUGAAAGAUCCAAACGAAACCCUAACCCUAAAGAAAUUGGAAGACAAAAAAUACCUUUGAACUUUCAUGUCUCUCUUCAAUGUCAGCCCUGCAUUAGCUUCUUUGGGAUUCUAGGGCUUCAGCUUUGAGUUUCACUAAUAGCUACAGAGGAGGAACAGUACAUGCUGGAGAAGAUGAGGGUUUUAAAAUAACAAUGACCCUUUUGCCCUUGCUUUAUGGGAACGAAGACAAUUUUGCCCUCAGUCACGUGGAGAGUACAUGUCUUUCUGUCCAAAAAAAAUAAUGUCGUAUUUAAAAAAAUACACAUUUUAUGCAAUUAUAAAGAAUUAAGGGUACAUUAUUCGAUUUUGUACUUAAGGGGGCAAUGUGUAAAAUAUGCUUUAAAUUGAGGGGUAAAGUGUAAUUAACUUUAAAUAUAUAGAAAAAAUAUUUUUUUGAAAAACAUUAUUUGGGUAAAUUUUGAAUUAUGCAAUCGAUUAUUUUCUCUUGAAUAACCUCAUGAAUCCGAACUCAAUCUAAUUUUUUUUUAUCCUACUUUAGAUAUAUAUAACUCAUUUGUCUUGUCUCGGUCACUUCGUCCCAAUCACAUUCAUAAAUUUUCUCGGGAAACUUGUGUUUGAGGCUGGUAAUAUUAAAAUAGUAUGAGAUUGGAAACCCAACUUUUGAUUUUUUAAUAUAAUUAUUCUAAUCCUAAAAAUAAUAUAGGGUUCAUGCACUUUUAGCUGAACUAUUUUUUAAUAUCCAAUAUGCCCUCUUCUUUCUGCCAGGUCAACCUCCACAUGUGAAAAAAAAAAGAGGUCUUCUUCCAUCUCCAGCAUCACCUGUGAAAAAAAAAGGGUCUUAUUCCAUCUCCAGUAUCACCUCCACUAGAUGACCAUAACUCCUCCCAAACUUCUUCACCUCCAUUUGCAGACUGUCCACUAUCGGGUCAACUUGUUUCAUCUCAAUCAUCGCCGCGGCUCAUCACCAGCGACGACCGAGGGAACCUCGACUCUAUGUACCGCAUCAACAUCUCCCCCGAUCCCGAAACUGUGUCAGAGCCACACUGCAGAACCAACAUAUCGGGUUUGAGAAUCGGCGUCUCGGCCGACACCAUACAGAUGGAUACGCAUUUGUGGUGUAGGGCGAACCGGAUGUAGGAGGUGAGAGGAACCGCUGGAGAUAAACGACACCAAAAUUCCUUUCCCAUCUUCCACUCCCUGGUUGUAGGUCUCAUCAUAGGAAACAAACGGCUGAGACUUAGUAAAUUGGGAGAGGAAGCAUGCUAGUUGUAGGUGUGAGAAGUUGCGGGAGAGUCAUGGACGAAGGUGGGGGGAGAGAGAGAGAGAGAGACUUGAAGAGGUUAGGUUUUCUUUUUGGGAUUUGGGUUUCAAAAGGGAGCAGAGCAGAUGGAAAAUUUUAGGCAAAACGUUUUAUGUUUUCUCGGUUUUUUGAUUUUUUGGUUUUUUUUUUAAAAAAAAAAUAAGUGGAGGUUGACGUGGUAGAGAAGAGAGGCAUAUUAGGUAUUAAAAAUCAGCUCAGCCCAAAGGGCAUGGAACCCAAAAUAUUUUGGGUUCAAUAUUGAAAAAUUAAAAAUGGUAAAAAUGAGUUUUGGUUUUCAUAAUAUUUAGAUAUCACCAUCCCAAAACCUAACUUUUCCAAUUUUCUCUUUCGUGCUUGCCGUGAAAGUCACUUGCUCCGCAAUUUACGCAAAGACUCUAUUACCAUUGACUUUAUUACAAUUUCUACAAGAAAAAUCGAACUUCAAGACUAAGCAAAUAUCCUAGGAAUCAAGCUGGAAGCUACAAUGCUGUUUCAGGGAAGCAUAUGAUAUACAAAUACAACCCUUAUAUGUUACAGCUUCGGUACUGACCAGGAGACUGUAAGUACUGGCCAUGGAUGCAGAAGAAGAAAGGCUAAGUAAAACCCAUAUCCAUGGCCAAUUGGUAGAGAUAAACCACAAUCAGGAGAAACGAAUACGCCACGAAGAAACAAAGGCGCAGAAUCUGACAACUGGGUUUGCGGUCGUCCAAGCUUUAAUUCUCAACACAGGGGUGAUCAAUAAGCCAUCUAACAGAUGCGAACACUGGUGGGUGCCAUUCUCUCUCUCCUUAUCAGUCGGUGUGAUUUAUUUCAUCACCAUUUUUGAGGUGUUGAGGAAAUGGUACCUUCUGCUCUACCAUUUGGACGUCAACUACCUGGAGCAAGAACUUAUUCUACUGGAAAUGCAUGGGGGUGCUCCGUCCUGGCGAAAUGAUCAGCCAUUGAAGCCAGAUGUGGUGAAGCUCCUGAGGCGUAAAGCUUAUAUCACGAUACUGAUUUCUGCUAUGCUCGCCUUUCAAGCUCUGAUGCUCCACGCCUGCAGAUCCUUUCUUUGCAGCUGAAAGUAACCAUCUUCCCCUUUAAAUAAAUACUAGAAUAAAAAAAAAUUGUUGUUUAUUAUGCCAAAUUUCUCGAUGCCUUUGAAGAGUGUCAUGGGAAAUGCUAUUAAGAUGCAAACUACAUAAUUCAAAAUGCAUUAUAUGGAACGAAAUUAUUUACCAUGAAAUUUAUUUAUAUUGUUUUUCUUUCUAAAGUAUUCAAAAUGCAUGAUAUGCAAUAGAAAAUUUUGAGGGAAAAUAUCACAGAAAGAAAAUAGAGAGAAAAAAUAGAAUAAAAAAAUAUGAAAAAAAAAUAAAAAAAUAUAUUUAAAGUCAAUAAAUUAUUUUUAUAUCUUAUUUUAAACUUAUUUUACUUAUUUUAACUCAUCAAUAUAAAGGUUAAAUAAUUUUAAAAUAUAUAAAAUUUUAAUUAAUUUAAAUUAUAUUUGAUUUUAUUUGACAUUUUUCAUGAUACAAUCAUGAGAAACUCGUUUUCUUAAACAUUUUUCUUUUCUUUUUUCAGUAGUUUUUGGCAACCAAACAUUACCUAAAAUUUUGUUAGUGCAUCUCCUUAGGUGUUUGUGCUCACAUAUUGGGCCCAAGAAUGGGUUCCUGCAACUACCAUCAAUGGGCCGGGCUGCCCAAUCAAUAACAAAAGGGCACUCACCUGGGUCUCAUGGGCCGAGAAAAAUGGAGCCCAUACACAACAGUUUUGAACCCAAACAUAAAUUUCAAGUUCAUAUAUACUUUUAAUCUCGUUUAUUCAUUCAUAUUAGAAAUCUAGAUUUAUAUUAAUUCAUUCAUGUAGAUCUAUAUAUUAGGAAUCAAAUUAGAGUGCAUAGAAACCAAAAUUAAGAGAGAGGAUUAUACCCAGGGAAGUUUUGUGUGAUACGUUGAACUGAAAGUGAUAAAAACUAAGACUAUGUUUAAUUCCCAAAAAGCAAUAAGGAAAGAAAAAAAAAUAUGAAGGAAAAUUAUUUUCUUGUAUUUUAUUUUUUUAUGAAAAACUUGAAAGGAAAUAAAAUAUAAUUAAAAAUUUAUUAUAUAUUUUUAAAUUAUUAAUUUCCAUAUAAAAGGGGAACAAAAUGUCAAUGAAUUUGAAAUAACAAAUAAAAAUGAUUUAUAAGUUUUAAAUCCAUUUUUUUUAUUUUCCUUAAUAUUUUCCUUCUUCUACUUUUUCUUUCUAUUUUCUUUUUCUCACAUUUUCUCUUAGAUUUUCUAAGAACCAAACAUAAUAUAAAAAAACAAAUAAUAUAUAAAAAAACCCAAAUAAUUUGACAUGUGGUAUAUUGUUGCUAGUCAAAGUAAUGGUUGUGGGUGACUUUUAGAAGCCUCCAAUAAGAAAUGGCCAAAAAACCUAUGAGCUUGGCAUUUAUUUGAGUAUCUCGGGGACAAUAUUUUAUUUUUAAUUAUGUGUUUUAAUUCAUUGUUUUUUUUUCUUUAAUAUUAUUUUAGAAAUAUGUUUAGAGAUAUGUUAAUUUUAGUGCUUAUAGUAAUAUAAAGAUUUUGAUAAUUAAAAAUUUGUUUAAAAAUGAUUUUAGGAAGCAUUUAACCUAUUUAAUCUUUAAAUUUUUUAUAAAAGAAUUGUUUUCAAGUGCUAAAAAGAUUAGAGACAUUUUAUAAAAUUACUAUUAAAUAAAUUCUAAAUAUAAUCGAGUCGUGUGACUAUAAAUUGCUAGACUUUUCCAUGUGAUUAAUCCUUGGAUACUUGGAAUUUGUUUAUGUGGGGUAGAGCUUUUGUGAGUUUGUUUGCAAUUUUCUCAUACUAGAAACAAAUGAAUGGUCAGAGAAAGGAACAUAGAAAAGAGAAGAUUGAAACACCUUCACCUGCUCCGAAGGUUCGUAUGAUCUUCAUGCCAGCCUCCAUGCCUCAUUUUCCCGCUUAUAAAAAAAAGGCCACAAAAGACUAGACUGAUCUGAUAAAGCAGGGCCGGAAAAGCGAGCUCGACACGAAGAAACGAAAGCCGGCCAAUGCAGUCCGAGAGAUCACACAGCGAACUGUUCGAGUCUGGGCUUUUGUUUCUUCGUGUCGGUCUUGCUUCUGUCUCCGGCCGGAGGAACAAAAUUGUACAGACAUGGAUGGGAAGAACUCCUGUAAUAUCAAGAGUCCUUCUAUCUUUGGAUUGUUAUAAUAAUAUUAUCUUCAAAACAAAAUUUAUGCAAGUGGGGGUAUAUUUUUUAUUUUUUGUUUUUGAAAAUAGGAAGUUUUAUACAAAAUAUAAAAAAAUCUUAUAUGAAAGAUAGGUAUAAUCUUGUUAUGUUAUUUGAAAACAUUUUUUAAAAUUGACAGAAGUAAAAAAAUUUCAAUUCCAUAAAUUUUUAAAUUUUGAAAAAGUCUUUAAGAAGGGUAGGUAAGAGGAUGCUUGUUAAUGGUUAGAAAAUAGUUUUAUAUGUUUUAGAACAAAAGAAUAAUAAAAAAAAACAUGCUUAGUGAUUAGAAAACAGUUUAUACUCUUAAAAAACAAAAAAUCGGAGUGUUUUUAGAUAAUAUCUUUUAAUUUUUAAAAUUAUUUUUAUUUAUUGAAAAAUAAUCAUACAAAAUGCAGAAUGAUUAUGAGUAAAGUAUUACAUGUGAAACUUAUUUUUAAAAAAUAUUUAAAAACAUAAAAAAAAAAGUUAAUAACAGUUCAAGUUUCCAAACAAACUAUUAUUUUACAAAAUAUUAAAUAACAAUUUUAAAAAAUAGUUUUAAAAAAUACUUUUCGAACACAAUUUAAAUUUUUUUCUUUUUGCAUAAAAAUUCUUAUAUUUUGUAUAAGAGUUUUUAUUUUUAAAAAUAAAAAAAUAAGAAAUAUAUUCAAAGAUAUUUAAUAAACAAUAAAAUUCAAAAGAGAAAGCCUUAAAUUUUAUGUUAUUAUUGUAAAAUGAGAAUAAAUGUGACUCAAAUAAUAGUAGGGAUGACUAUGUAUUAUUUUAAUAAUAUAUAUAUAGAGGGGCGGGGGGAAGAAAUCAAAGAAAAGUGUUGAGAGAAUGAAAGAAAGAGAGAGAGAAUGAGAGGAAGAAAAUUUCUUCUUUUUCUCGGAAUGCUCUUACAUGGGGUGUAAGAACCCUUUUAUAGGAUUCAUAAGAUGAACUCCCAUUACUCAUCUUAAAGAUGAGUAAAUGGAGUUCAUAAAUGACCAUCAAUGUGGUCAUUCAUCACUUCAUUUACAACAUUUCCCCUUGGAUGACCACCAUAUUAAAAGAAUAUGUUUCAUUAAAACCUUGUUAGUAAAAAUUUUUAUAGGAAAAACCUAGUGAAGGAAAAAGAGUACAAUAUUCUUUUCUUGGUAUAUUAGGACUACCUCGUUAAAAACCUUGCCAGUAAAACCCAGUAGGACAAAACCUGGACGAAGGAAAAAAGAGUACAGUACACUAACACCCUUUUACAAGCAUACUCCCCCUCAUGUCAAUAUCCUUGAGUUGACGCAUUCCAAUCAUGUAUAUUAAUUUCUUGAAUGUUGAGGUUGACAAUGAUUUUGUGAAUAAAUCUGUUAGAUUAUCACUUGAGCGUAUUUGUUGCACAUCAUUUUCACCACUCUUCUAGAGUUCAUGUGUAUAAAAGAAUUUUGGUGAAAUGUGUUUAGUUCUAUCUCUUUUAAUAUAACCCCCUGUUAUUUGUGUAAUGCAUGUAGCAUUAUCUUCAAAUAAUAUUGUCGGGUCACCUUUGAUAGAGGAGAGUCCACAUGAUUCCCGAAUAUGUUGGAUCAUAGAUCUUAGCCUUAUACAUUCAUGACUUGCUUCAUGAAUUGCUAGUAUUUCUGAAUGAUUUGAUGAUGUGGCCACCAUUGUUUGUUUGACAUAUCUCCAUGAAAUAGCAGUACCAUUGCAAUUAAACACAUACCCUGUUUGUGACCUACCUUUAUGUGGAUCUGAAAGAUAUCCUGCAUCUGCAUAUCCAAGCAAUUGUUGCUUUGAUUCCGUUGAGUAAAAUAAACCCAUAUCAGUAGUUCCGCAAAGAUAACAUAAUAUAUGUUUGAUACCAUUCCAAUGUCUUCGAGUUGGAGUGGAAUUGUAUCUUGCUAAUAAAUUGACAGAAAAAGCAAUGUCUGGAUGUGUACAAUUGGCAAGAUACAUAAGUGCACCAAUAGCACUAAGAUAUGGUAUUUCAGGACCAAGUAACUCUUUUUUUUUUUUUCGCAAGGACGAAAUGAGUCAUUUUUCACAUCAAGUGAUUGGACAACCAUUGAAGAACUUAAAGGAUGCGCUUUAUCCAUAUAAAAACGCUUCAAAACUUUGUUAACGUAUGUUGAUUGAUGUACUAAAACUCCAUUUGGAAAAUGCUCGAUCUGCAGGCCGAGAUAAAAUUUUGUUUUUCCAAGAUCUUUCAUCUCAAAUUCCUUUUUCAAGUAAUUUGUUGUUCUUGUGAGCUCUUAAGAAGUUCCAACAAGAUUUAAGUCAUCGACAUACACUGUAAUAAUUGCAAAUCCGGUUUCUGAUUUCUUAAUGAAGAUGCAUGGGCAUGUAGGGUUAUUCACGUAUCCUUCUUUUAGCAAAUAUUCGCUAAGACGAUUGUACCAUAUGCGUCCAGAUUGCUUUAAUCCAUACAAUGAUCGUUGUAACUUGAUUGAGUACAUGCUACGAGACUUUAUACUAUUUUCUCCAGGCAAUUUAAAUCCUUUAGGGAUUUUCAUGUAUAUAUCAUUAUUCAUGGAUUCGUAUAAAUAUGUUGUAAUAACAUCCAUGAGAUGCAUAUCCAAUCCUUCUGAGACUACCAAAUUGAUUAAGAAACAAAAUGUGAUUGCAUCCAUGACGAGAUAAUAUGUUUCUUCGUAGUCAAUACCAGGUCUUUGCGAGAAACCUUGUGCUACUAAUCGCGCUUUAUAUCUUAUGAUCUCAUUAUUCUCAUUGCGCUUUCGUACAAAUACCCAUUUGUACCCAACAGGCUUUACAUCUUCAGGUGUUUAGACUACAGGUCCAAAAACUUCUUGUUUUGUUAAUGAGUUUAACUCUGCUUGUAUAGCUUCAUUCAGUUUUAGCCAAUCAUUUCUAUGUCAACAUUCUUCCACAUUUCGUAGUUCGGGAUUUUCAUCAUUUCUUUUGACUUUAGAGGCCACUUGGAAAGCAAAAAUAUUGUUAAUAACAAUAUUAUUUAAAUCCAUUUUUUCUCCCGUGUGUACAUAACUUACUGAGAUAUCACAAUUUUUAGGUACCUGUGCCUCUUCAAGGGCUUCUCGUUCAAUAUGUGCCUCUUCAAAGGCUUUUUGCAUUAUUUAUGCCUCUUCUAGGGCUAUAGAUUUAUCAAUUUUAAAUUGAUCAGUCAUUUUGAUGGCCUCUUCUAGAGUGCCAAGUUUUUCUUCGGUUCUCAUUUUCUAGGAAGUUACAUCAUUUGAGCCGACAAGUUUACCACGCUUCAGGCAUAUCUUAAAUUCAUUUGUUAACUGUCCUAUAGGGACAUCAAUCCGUGCUGGAGUAUUUGUAGUCGGGAUAUGUUACUUUGUCACUUUCUUUGUAUUAAUGAAUGCAUCUGGUAAUUGAUUUGCAAGAUUUUGCAAAUGAAUGAUCCUUUGGAAGAUGGGUCAUAGUAGAUGCCUUCCAACUAAUUUCUCAUGGUUCUUCAGGAAUCGACUUUUCUCCCCUUAAUGAUGGGAAAACACUCUCAUUAAAAUGACAAUCCGCAAAGCGGGCAGUAAAAACAUCACCUGUCAAAGGUUCAAGAUAUCUUAUGAUAGACGGAGAAUCAAAACCUACAUAAAUCCUAAGUCUUCGUUGGAAAUCCAUUUUAGUGCGUUGUGUAGGUGCAAUUGGUACAUAUACUGCACAACCAAAGAUUUGUAAGUGAGAGAUAUUUGGUUGUUUUCCAAGCACAAGUUGUGAAGGGGAAUAUUCAUGGUAAGUUGUAGGUUGAAUAUGGACUAAAGCUACAACAUGCAUAAUAACAUGUCCCUAGGUAGAAGUAGGUAAUUUGGUUUUCAUUAGUAAUGGUCGAGCUAUUAAUUGGAGACGUUUGAUGAAGGAUUCUGCUAAGCCAUUUUGGGUAUGAGUAUGAGCAACAAGAUGCUCAAUAUUUAUCCCUACUGACAUGCAAUAGUCAAUGAAUGUUUGAGAAGUAAAUUCUCCAGCAUUAUUAAGACGUAUUGUCUUAAUUGGAUAAUAUGAAAAUUGUGCUCGUAAUAUGAUUAUUUGUGCAAGGAGUCUAGCAAAGGCAACGUUACGUGUAGAAAGGAGACAAACAUGUGACCACCUAGUAGAAACAUCUAUUAAGAUCAUAAAAUAACGGAAUGGUCCACAUGGUGGAUGGAUAGGCCCACAUAUGUCCCUAUGUAUUUUUUCUAAAAAGACUGGUGACUCAGAUAUAACUUUAGUAAAAGAUGGUCUGAUUAUCAAUUUACCUUAUGAGCAGGCAACACAUGAGUAUUCAUUGGGUGAAAGAAUCUUCUAGUUCUAUAGUGGAUGUCAAUGUGAGUGUUCGAUUAUUCGACACAUCAUUGCAGACCCUGGGUGACCUAGCCUGUCAUGCUAAAGUACAAAAACUUUUGGGUCGUUGAACUUCUGGUUCACGACAACAUAUGAUUCAAUAGGCUUUAUAGUUGUAUGAUACAACCCAGAGGAGAAAGUCGGGAGUUUUUCCAUUAUAAGCUUCUGACCAGAUAUAAUGGAAGUAAUGUAAAGAUGUUCUAUAUUAUCUUCAUUCAUAGUUUCAAUAUGAUAUCCAUUUCUGCGGAUAUCUUUAAAACUAAGCAAAUUUAUUCUGGAUUUGCUAGAAUAUAAAGCAUCAUUUAUAUGAAAUCUAGUUCCAUUUGGCAACGUUAUGUUUGCUCUUCUAGAACCUUCAACUAAGUUUGUAGUACUAGAUAUGGUACUUACAUUAGCUUUUAUUAAUGUCAAUUCAAGGAAAUAUCUUUUAUCUCGAAGAAUUGUGUGCUUGGUCGCACAGUCUACGAGACACACAUCAUCCUCAUUCAUCUUGAGACCAAAUAACACAUGGAUUUCAGAUAUAACAAAAUAAAACAAGGCAUAAUGUAAAUAACAAAGUAAAUCAGAUGUAAAUAUAAGACAUAAUAAUAUAUUAUUUCAUAUAUAAAGUAACAUCAAUUAAUGUUAAUUUUCUCAUCAUUUAUCAAAUGGUCUAUUUUUUCAUUGGGACCUUCAAAGAAAUCAAUGUCAUAGUAGGUUAGGUCCAAUCCAUCACCAUCAGUAAAGUUCAUCUUUAUCUCUUUUCCUUUUGCUUUUAUUGAUGCUUGGUAAAGGUCGACUAAAUGUUUGGGCGUACGACAGGUAUGCGACCAAUGCCCCUUCAUACCACAUCUAUAACAAUUAUUCUCGUGGUUCUUAGGAGGUUUAUCUUGUAAAUGCUUCCCAUUUUCUUGUAUUGUCUCAGUAUUGUUCCAUUUCUGGUGGUGCAACGAGGCUUUCAUUUUCUGAGAAUUAUUACUAUAAGAACCAUGGUAUCGGGGAUUUUUUCCACGAUCAUGACCACGUCCAUGAAUUUGGACGAUAUUGCAUUCACUUUAAGGAAUGGUUCAGAUCCAGUUGGACGAGAUUGAUGAUUUCUCAUUAAAAGCUCAUUAUUUUGUUUAGUAACAAGAAGACAUGAUAUUAAUUCAGAAUAUUUUGUAAAUCUACACUUUCUAUAUUGCUGUUGCAGGAGCACAUUCGAGGCAUGAAACGUAGUAAAAGUUUUCUCUAACAUGUCUUCUUCUAUGAUUUUUUCUCCAUGUAGCUUUAAUUGAGAGCUGAUUUUGAAAAGUGCGGAGUUGUAUUCACUAAUAGUUUUAAAAUCUUGCGACCUUAGGUGCAUCCAAUCAUAUCAAGCUUUUGGGAGAAUCACAGUUUUCUGGUGGUCAUAUCUUUCCUUCAAAUUACUCCAUAGAGUAAAAAAGUCCUUUACCGUAAAAUACUCAUUUUUUAAACCUUCAUGGAGGUGAUGACGAAGGAAAAUCAAUGCUUUUGCGCGAUCCUGCAGGGAUGCUUGAUUUCCUUCUUUGAUUGUAGCUCCAAGGUUUAUUGCAUCAAGAUGUAAUUCAACAUCAAGGAUCCAAGAUAGAUAAUUCUUUCCCGAAAUGUCAAGUGCCACAAAUUUGAGUUUUGUGAUAUUCGACAUUGUCAAAUAACUUCAUAUAUAUGACAAAACAAUAUUAUUAGAAUCAAUUAUAAUAACUUAAUAGCAUUGGUAUAACUUUGAUUAUAAACAAAAUCAAAUAAUUUGUUUAUAAUUUUUAACAAUAUGUAACAAAACAAAUCAACAAUAAUAUAAAUAUGUAAAAUUUUAUCCUAUAUAAAUAACUUCAAGUUUAAGAUACGAGAAUUACCUUCAGAACAAUUCGUGCUAAUAAUGUGUUGUAAAAAGAGAAUAAAUGUGACUCAGAUAAUAGUAGGGAUGACUAUGUAUUACUUUAAUAAUAUAUAUAUAUAUAUAAAGGGGGAGGGGGGGAAGAAAUCAAAGAGAAGUGUUGAGAGAAUGAAAGAAAGAGAGAGAGAGAGAGAAUGAGAGGAAGAGAAUUUUUUUUUUCUCGAGAUGCUCUUACAUGGGGUGUAAGAAGCCUUUUAUAGGCUUUAUAAUAUAAACUCCCAUUACUCAUUUUAAAGAUGAGUAAAUGGAGUUCAUAAAUGACCAUCAAUGUGGUCAUUCAUCACUUCAUUUACAACAGUUAUUAAUUUGUUGUAUUACUUAGAGGGGGUGAAUGAAUUGAAAGCACUAUGGAGGUAAGCUUUUUAGUUUUUUCACCUUAUCCUCUUUAUACAUAAUGUCUCCAUCAAUGAUGUUCAGUAUAUUCCUUAUUUUUGUUUUACUUAAGUGUUCUUGUAUUGUAGCCCUCUCAAGACUCUUCCUCUUCACUCCAAACAAGUUAAUUGUCUUCAUAUCAAAGUAACAUAAGUUGAUUUUCUUAUAGGGCUAAUGCUACUUAUGUGAUUAUUUUCUUUACAAAAGUUGCAAAUAAUAUUUGAGGAUUCCUUGACAAAAUAAUUUUUAAAUUUUUAUUUUUUUAUUUUUUUUAUUUUUAUAGAGCUUGUAUCCUAAUCCCUUUAUUGCAAAGAUUAUUUUUUUACUUGCCAAAAUUAUCAAAAUUCUUGUCCCCAUUUGAGAAUUUUGAAAGAGAAGAGAUUAACUAAUGAAUUUUCUUUUCAAGUAAGUAUAUAUUUUAUUCCAAGGAAAACCUUAGCCUUUUUUAGAUAUUUUAAACUCCCCUUUUAAGUCAUUAAUUUCAACUUGAAGAGAGAUGAUUUUCUUUUUAAGAUAAGCCUGAAAGUUAUUUGAUCUAGUUUAGGUAACACCUAGAGGAGUUGAAUGGUGUUUAAACUUUUCUGCUCAAAAAUGAAUUAUUUUAUAUUCAUAUAACAAACAUUUUUUCAAUUUAGGAAAGCCUAAAAACACUCAAUACAAAAACAUAAGAUUUUUAUAUGGAAAACCACCCAUAUCAUGUGCGGAUGUAAAAACGACAAGGUCAGACUUUUAAUCAUUAAUAAACUAUUUGAAAGUAUUAUACAUGGUUUUAGUUGGUGGAAGCUAUCGUUAAGUCUUACUACCCAACACCUACAAUGCACUUCACAUUUGCGAUAUAGCACUACGUGUGCUCUUAGUGGAUCUAACCUCAGUGUUUGAGAGGAUGUAGAUCUCCUUUUCAAUCCAACAUAAGCGAAAACAACAUUCCUUGAGAGUUUUAGGAAUAAGAUGACGAAUUUGGUUUUUCAAAAAAUUUGCAUCAAACCAAAAACCUUUUUAGGUAAAACAUUUAUAGGCAUAAGAAGCUGGCAGACUGGAUCUAAAAUUUUCCAAAAUAAGACCUUAAAAAAAAUUAGAAAAUCAAAGUUCCAAAAAUUUUGGAGAAUUCUAUCAUGGGUGUUUGAGUGCUCAUGGGAGCACUUGAGUGCUUAAGGAGAUUUUUUAAACUUUUUAAAAAUUCUUUUAGCUUGGUUUUAAAACCAUUAGUUCGCACCAUGCCUUAACAAACACCAAUUUGUCAUUCUUGAACCUUUUGAUUUUUACUUGUGCCAUCCUGAUUGAUCACAUAACAACUUUGAGUCUUCAAUGAAGAGUAAAACACAAUUUAGAAAGAUUCUAAACUAGAAUGAAAGGAAUUAUAUAGCCUAAUAUACCAACAAUCUUCUCCUAUGAUAAUUUUAUGAAAAAAAAUACAAAUUACAUAAACCCCCUAAUACUCUUCAAUGGAGUUUAAGAAUCUCUCAAUAACUCUCGUCUAAACCAAAUCAUUCUUGAACAUGCAGAUGAUGAUAAAUCACAUCUAAAAGUGGGCAAUACCCCACUACUUGUGACCUGCACACACAAACCAACCAAGUACUCAAGUAAAACAAUGUGUGAGAGAAAACACAACUCAUAAAUUCUAUCAAAUCAAGGUAAGAGUAGAUGGAUGUGAGUCAUGCAUACAAUGGAUAUCUAAUCAAUAGUAUCAAUAAAUUGUCUCCCCAUUUUUGUCGCAAAAAUGACAAAGAAGGAAUAAACAAUGAAUGCACAUAAGAGAAAGAGAAACAAUUAAGCAAAAGAACUUCAACUUAUUUUUAGAAUGCUUCUUUCUUGGUAAGAUCUCUUAAGAAACCCUUCUUGAAAAUAGUUUUUUUUUUUUUGUUUUGUUUUUUAUGAUGGAAAAUUGUUUUCUACCUUAAAAACUAUAUUUGGUAAAAUUUCACUAAAAUAAUUUUUUGAAAAUAGGUUUUUUUUUUGGAACAAACGCUUUUAAAUAUAUAUAUAUAUAUAUAUAUAUAUAUAUAUAUAUAUAUAUAUAUAUAUAUAUAUAUAUAUAUAUAUAUAUAUAUAUAUAUAUAUAUAUAUAUAUAUUGUAGAAUAUUUCAAGAAAUAGUUGAAAAUAUGAAAAAUGUUUCAAGAACCUUUGUAUCUUAGAUUUGUGCACUUCAGUUUCAUGAAUAAUAUUAAACUAAGAAAACUGUUAUUUAUAUAUUAAUUUCUAAAUAAAAUUUUGUUGCUGGAAAUAAUUAAAAUUUAUUUUAAAAAACUAUUUUCAAGAAUUAUUUUUGAAAACGUUGCUAAAAAGACAAAAGUCCUUGGUCAUUUUUUUUUCUUUUAUAUUUUUAUCUUUAUCUAAGAGGCCGGUCUUUUUUUUUUUUUAAUGUUCCAUAAUCCUUGUGAAAUUGUAACGUGUAAUUCAUUUAUUUGACUUCAAAAGUUAAGAAAUAAUGAACCUUUCAUUAUUGUAGUUUGUCUUGUAGUAAGAGACUUAAAAAUCCACGUACAAGAUGUCUUUCUUUCUUAAGUCAAGUCAACAAAAUGGAGGUGGAAGAAAUAAUGAACUUUCAUUAUUGUAGUUUGUCUUGCUAAAAGCUAUGUAUAACGGGUCUUCGUAAGUCAAAUCAAUAAUCAAAUUAAAAGAAAUAAUAAACUUCCAUUAUUCUAUUUUAGAGACUUAAAAAGCCAUAUAUAACGGGUCUUCUUUUCUUAAGUCAAGUCAAUAAAAUAAAAGUAGAAGAAAUAAUGAACUUUCAUUAUUGUAGUUUGUCUUGCUAAAAGCCAUGUAUAACGGGUCUUCGUAAGUCAAAUCAAUAAAUCAAAUUAAAAGAAAUAAUAAACUUUCAUUAUUGUAUUUUAUCUUGUAGCGAGAGACUUAAAAAGCCAUGUAUAACGGGUCAUCUUUUCUUAAGUCAAGUUAAUAAAUCAAAUUAAAAGAAAUAAUAAACUUUUAUUAUUGUAUUUUAUAUUGUAGCAAGAAACUUAAAAAGCCAUGUAUAAUGGGUCUUCUUUUCUUAAGUCAAGUCAAUAAAUCAAAUUAAAAGAAAUAAUAAACUUUUAUUAUUGUAUUUUAUCUUGUAGCGAGAGACUUAAAAAGCCAUAUAUAACGGGUCAUCUUUUCUUAAGUCAAGUCAAUAAAUCAAAUUAAAAGAAAUAAUAAACUUUUAUUAUUAUAUUUUAUAUUGUAGCAAGAGACUUAAAAAACCAUGUAUAAUGGGUCAUCUUUUCUUAAGUCAAGUCAAUAAAUCAAAUUAAAAGAAAUAAUAAAUUUUUAUUAUUGUAUUUUAUAUUGUAGCAAGAGACUUAAAAAGUCAUGUAUAAUGGGUCUUCUUUUCUUAAGUCAAGUCAAUAAAUCAAAUUAAAAGAAAUAAUGAACUUUUAUUAUUGUAUUUUAUAUUGUAGCAAGAGACUUAAAAAACCAUAUAUAACGGGUCUUCUUUUCUUAAGUCAAGUCAAUAAAUCGAAUUGGAAGUUUUUCCUUUUUUUUUUUUUUUAAACCAACUUCUACUAUUACUUUUAUUAGUUAUUUUGAUCAUUUGAUUAAAUAUUGAAUUAUUAUUAUUUUUUUAAAAUUUUCAAGUACAAACCAUUUCAUGUUAAAAAAUUUAAAGUGGAUCUAACUUUCUUUACAAGUUAAGAUAUCUUGAUUAAAGGAUAAAUAAUGGAUUGUAAUAUUUCAACUUUAAUUAAGUUAAUUUAUCAAUAUUCAAACUAAGUUGGAGAAAAAAAAAAGACAACACCUCAAUUUUAGUUUUCCAUUACACAUGGUUAUUUCUUUUUCUUCUUUUUCUUUUGCUUAUUUGACACACAAUGGCAGCUCUAGUCAUCAUACCUUUCAAGACUCUAAACUCACACAAAUUUUCAAUCUUUUCAUCAUAUCUUUUAAAAUUCUUGUCACUCAUAAAGUAUUUAAGACUUAAUUUUAAUAAAUUCAUAUUUUUAUAACUAUAACUAAGAGCUUUGACCUAUUAAAAAAUGAAUCAAAAAUCGUUUGCAAGACAUUAAAAUUUCAUAAUUAUUUCUUUUACCUUAAAUGUAGUUGUUAUGUGUUUGCUAGUUCACAUAUUUGCAAUAUACCCUAGGAUGGUUGAGCUAUGUAACAUGCUUCUCGGAAUCAAUUCAUUCGGUUUUUUUUUUUUCCUUUUCCCUUUUGGUUCUACUCAUUUUAAUGUAAAGAAGAACCAAAACAUAUUCACUAGUUGAUUUUACCCUUGGUUGCACAACUAACCAUAUGGAGUCUAGACUUGAAAAUUUUAUGCAUUUUGGGUCUAACAAGUUAUGAUACUUAGACCUAGCAUUACAUGUGAAAGAAAACAAAAAAGUAAUAAUAAAAAUAUAAUUCUCAUUGGAAAAUUAAAAUUGUUAUGAAAUAUUUUAUUUUCUCAUAUGUUGUUUAGAUAUUGAUGGAUUGACUUGUUAAUUAAAGUUGAAAUAUUCUAAUAUUUUUCUGUCAUCAAGGUGUCUUAUGUGGUGACUCAAAAAUAGUAUUAAUAAAUGAUAAAAGAGAUUGUUGCUAAUCUUCAAAAUUAUAAAAAGUUUAUACACUUUGCUAGUCUUCAAAAUUAUAAAGCGUUUAUACUUUAAAAAAACAAAAUAAAUAAACAUUAGUCUAUAUUGAAUGUGUUAAUAUGAAGUACAUUGUAGCUAUAAUUUUUUAAAGGAUUAAAGAAAAAAACCAUUCAAUAUUUUGCUAGGUAUAAAAAAUCUUAUUUAUUACAAAUUAUUUUGUAGAUGAUGAAUCAUUGAUGAAGAUAGGCUAAGGAAUUUAUAAAAGGUAAAAAGUAAUUAUUCAUAUAAAUGAAAAGUGAAGGUUAUAUUUGUUAAGUAUCUUUAAAAGGGGAUUUCAAAACAUUACUUUCUCUAAUAAUAAUAAUGUAAACUCAAAAUAUAUGUAAAUGAAAAUAAAAAAUAGUAUUUUUAUAAACUUAAAAAUAAUAUAUUUGUUUUUUUAAAUAUUUUUAGUCAUAAUUAAAGGUCAUCAUAUCUGUCAAAAAUUUAUCUUUAUAUUAUUUAUUUUAAAAAUGAUUAUUCAUUAAGAAUCAUUUUGAUAAAAGGUAAAAAAUAAUUACCAUAUAAAUUAAAAGUGGAGGUUAUAUUUGUUAAUUAUUUAUAAAAGGGGAUUUCAAAACAUUACCUUCUCCAAAAAUAACAAUAAUAAUAAUAUAAACACAAUAUUGACUCAAAAUAUUAUGUAAAUGAAAAACUUAAAAAUAAUAUAUAUUUGUUUUUUUUUUUUUAAUAUUUUUAGUCAUAAUUAAACUUCAUCUACUCAUCACGUUUGUGGGAAUGGUAUAUAAGUCAAUGCCUGCUUUGCUCAGAAAUCAAAAACCAAAACUUGUUAAUCCUUGUUAUUACACACUAUCCUUGCUCUGUGUUGAACAUGGGUACAAGCCCCUUUCGAUAUUUUAUUUCCUUUUUUCUGCUUAUGCUAUGUUUUGAAGCCUGUUUGAGGGUGGGUGAUGCUAAAGUUGGGUGCAGAGAGAGGGAAAGGCAAGCACUCCUUCACUUCAAACAAGGUGUUGUGGAUGAUUUUGGAAUGCUUUCUUCUUGGGGGAAUGGGGAAGACAAAAGAGAUUGUUGCAAAUGGAGAGGAGUCGAGUGUGACAACCAGACGGGUCAUGUGAUCGUGCUUGAUCCUCAUGCUCCGUUUGAUGGAUAUUUGGGAGGUAAGAUUGGUCCUUCAUUGGCAGAGUUGCAGCACUUGAAGCAUUUGAACCUCAGCUGGAAUGAUUUUGAAGGUAAUUAUAUACAUAUAUACCUUGUGAAAAUUCAUCAAUUUGUCUCAGCAGAAUAUAAUUCUCUAUUUUUCCAAUUUUACAGGAAUUCUUCCCACUCAACUCGGAAAUCUUUCCAACUUGCAAUCCCUUGAUCUCGGCCAUAGUUUUGGGUUUAUGACCUGUGGAAACCUUGAGUGGCUUUCUCACCUUCCUUUGUUAACACACCUUGACUUGAGUGGGGUUCAUCUUAGUAAAGCAAUCCAUUGGCCACAAGCAAUUAAUAAAAUGCCUUCCCUAACUGAGUUGUACUUGAGUUAUACUCAGCUUCCUCCGAUUAUUCCAACAAUAUCCAUUUCCCAUAUUAAUUCCUCCACUUCUCUUGCUGUGCUUGAUCUCUCCGUGAAUGGUCUCACUUCUUCAAUAUACCCAUGGUUGUUCAACUUCAGUAGCAGCCUUGUUCAUCUUGACCUCUCUAUGAAUGAUCUAAAUGGUUCAAUUCCGGAUGCUUUUGGAAACAUGACUACUCUGGCAUAUCUUGGUCUCUAUGGGAACGAGCUACGUGGUUCAAUUCCGGAUGCUUUUGGAAACAUGACUAGUCUGGCAUAUCUUUAUCUCUCUUCAAAUCAGCUUGAAGGUGAGAUUCCGAAAUCCUUGAGAGAUUUAUGUAAUUUACAGAUACUAUACUUGUCUCAGAACAAUCUCACUGGACUGUUGGAAAAAGAUUUUCUGGCCUGCUCUAAUAACACAUUAGAGGUUUUAGAUUUAUCUCAUAAUCAAUUCAAAGGGUCAUUUCCCUGGCUUUCAGGAUUUUCACAGUUGAGAGAAUUAUAUCUUGAAUUCAAUCACCUAAAUGGAACUUUACCUGAAAGUAUUGGACAACUGGCUCAACUUGAAGUGUUGUCCAUUCGUUCAAAUUCAUUGCGAGGCACUGUCUUGGCAAACUACCUUUUUGGUCUCUCCAACCUGUCUGUCUUAGACUUAUCUUUCAACUCCCUUACAUUCAACAUAAGCCCUGAGCAAGUUCCCCAGUUUCAAGCCUCUCGUAUAAUGUUGGCCUCUUGCAAAUUAGGACCACAUUUUCCUAAUUGGCUUCAAACUCAAAAAUAUUUGUUGGACCUUGAUAUCUCUGCUUCUGGAAUUUCUGAUGUCAUUCCCAGUUGGUUUUGGAAUUUAAAUUCAGGUUUAGCAUGGUUAAACAUUUCCAACAAUCACAUCUCAGGCACUUUGCCAAAUUUACAAGGAAUAUUUUAUUUGGGAAUGUGGGAUAUGAGUUCAAAUUGCUUGGAAGGUUCAAUACCACAAUUUCUUUUCAAUAAUGAAUGGUUGUAUCUCUCCAAGAACAUGUUUUCAGGCUCAAUUUCUUUAUCUUGCCGGAUUGCUAAUCUGUCUGGUUCGGGUUUGUCCCAUCUUGAUCUCUCAAAUAAUCGACUGUCAGGAGAACUACCCAAAUGUUGGGAGCAGUGGAAACAUCUAAUUGUUCUUAAUUUGGCAAAUAAUAAUUUUUCUGGGAAAAUUAAAAAUUCAAUUGGCUUGUUAUAUCGGAUUCAAACAUUGCAUUUACGCAACAAUAGUUUAACCGGAGCAUUGCCUUUGUCCUUAAAGAACUGCAAAGAUUUGUGUCUUGUAGAUUUUGGAAGAAAUAAAUUAUCAGGCAAAAUACCUGCAUGGAUGGGAAGAAGCCUAUCAAGUUUGAUUGUUCUCAACCUAAGAUCCAAUGAAUUUAAUGGAGGCAUACCUUUAAAUCUAUGUCAAUUGAAAAAUAUUCAAAUGUUGGACCUCUCAAACAACAAUCUAUCUGGUACUAUACCAAAAUGUCUCAACAAUUUAAGUGCCUUAACUCAAAAAGGGAGUUUGGUCAUUUCUUAUUAUGAAGGAGAGUUGAAUGGUUGGAAGCUCUCCUAUCUUGAUAAUACAUUGGUUCAAUGGAAAGGAAAAGAACUAGAGUACACUAAAACUCUUGGACUUGUGAAGAGCAUUGAUUUUUCGAAUAACAAGUUAAUAGGAGAAAUUCCGUCAGAAGUAACUGAUUUGGUAGAAUUGGUGUCAUUGAACUUAUCAAGAAACGAUUUGAUUGGACCAAUCCCUGCAACCAUUGGUCAAUUGAAAUUAUUAGAUUCUCUUGAUCUAUCUCAAAACCAGCUUAAUGGUAGAAUUCCAGAUAGUCUUUCUCAAAUAGCUGGUCUAAGUGUUUUAGACCUAUCAAAUAACACCUUGUCAGGUAAAAUUCCAUUAGGCACUCAAUUACAGAGCUUUAAUACCUCCACAUACGAGGGAAAUCCUGAACUUUGUGGGCUACCUCUUUUGAAAAAGUGUCCAAAAGAUGAACCUGGGGAAGCCUCCUUCAUUGGUUUUAGUAGUAAAACAGAGGAUAUUCAAGAUGAUGCAAAUAAUAUAUGGUUUUAUGGAAAUAUCGUUCUUGGAUUCAUCGUCGGAUUUUGGGGAGUUUGUGGCACUUUACUACUCAAUAGUUCAUGGAGAUAUGCCUAUUUCAAGUUCUUGAACAAGAUAAAAGACCGAGUGUAUGUGACAACAACAAUAAAUAUGAAUAGACUAUGGAGGAGCUUCCAAAUUUAAAUGGUAAGAUUUCUCAAAUUCUCUCCUUAGUCUUUUUAAUAAAUUAUAUUACCUUAGUAGCCUCUUUCUAUUAUUGCUCAAAUCCCUAUUCUAUUAAUUAACUUACCUUCCACAACUUAUGGAGAUAAAAUAAGAUUUUUCAAAUAAAAAUAUCAUAUUUUAUUUGAUUAGAUGUGAAAUUCAACUAUAACUAAGGAAGCCUUGAAUAUUUUGAUAUACCAAAUAUAACAACACCACAUUUUUAGUUCUCAUUGUACAUAUAGAUAAAUGUUAUGGCUUGAGAAUCAUAGUUGAAAAAUUAUAAUUAUCACUAUUUUUUUCUCAUCUUGCUUUUACUUACAGUUGUACCUUUUGCUGAAGUUCAGUCAACUUGCUUUAAGAAUAUUUGAGGUUUUAUUGUAAGAAGCAUACUACCAUACUUUCCUUUAUAUUAAUCAAGAAAAGUAAAUUUGCUUCUAUUGAAGACAUUUUUUUCAAAUUGAUGAAUAUUAUUUCAUUUGUUGUAUUGCAGAACUUCAAUUGGGUUGCAUCUCAAGGAUUAGUAGGUAAUAUAUGCUUGUGAGUAAUGAGUUUAUUUAGUAUUGGACAGCCUGAAUGUAAGAGCAUUUGUGUUUAUUGAACUCAUCAUCUUAUAAAUAACUUUGGCGUGUAUUAAGUUUGUUUAUUUGAUAAUAGGCGUGGCUUAAGUUUCUUAUGUUAUGCUCUAUUUAGAGCGAAUCAAAUAUAUUAGAGGAUGAUAUCAAGUCCUUUGUGGUGCAAUGCUAGAAACUACUUCGCUUUAAAAAAAACGUUUUCUUUUGCUCAAAAACCAGUAGCAACUAAAGCCAUAAUUUAAAAUGGGACAUGGUAAGACUAAGAACAGAAACUGAGCACUCUGUUUUUCUGGUGCCCAAGCAUGGAAGUUAUUAUAAUAAAAAGAAACAGCUGGUCAGAAUAAAACAAAAUUCAAAACAUGGUGUUUCUCACAAUGCAUAUUGAGGCUUCAUCCACUGAUAUUCCACAACAGAUUAACCGUCAAAAACCCUUAUGUUGAGUAGGAGAAAAGAAGCUCCAUACUUCUCAGGACAUACAGAACAACACCUUGGGUAGAGACCUUGACCAUGCUUGCAGAAAUGUGUUUUUGGAGCAGCAAUCCGAAGUAUAGGAGGCUUCAUAUUUGGGAACACUCCUCAUUCAAUGUAUCAUUGUGACUGAGAUGACUACAUAUUGAGGUUUGAUCAGUUCUAGGAAGGUGACUGGUUAUCAUAAAGCAUUUACCAACCAUUCUUGAAUACAUACUUAUGUGAUUUAGCAGGAUGGAACUGCAACUAGUCAUUAAUUAAGCAACAAAAAUGGCUGUGGUAAGAUUCUGAGACAUUGAUUGUAUAUUCCAUUGUUUUUUAUUUGAGGUUAAAUUCGGCUUUUGUUUUUUUUACUUUUUAAUUCUCUACUGCUUACAUGCCUCUUGUAUCUGAAGAGGCUAAUUGUUCAUGCGGUUGAAUUUUGCAACAUUUUCUUAUUGUUCGGGGCUUAAGCUUCUGUUCAUUUUUUCAUUAUUAUGUUUUUGUGCUUUGUUUUUUAUGACUAAUCCCAUGCCACAUAGUGAAGUGUUCACAGAGAAUGACUGGAAAUUUGUCCAGCUUGGGCUUGCUCUAUUUUAGAACAUUUUAGCCAUUCAAGACAUCUCGUUGCAGUAGAAGGCUGGGAGUCUGCACGCCACUCAAUUUUUAUCUCUGAGUAACCAAUUUUUGGUGCUGUUAUUCUUCAUUGAUUUAGAAGAUGAGCUGUUAUUUUUGGGGAUAUCUGUGUUAUAAUACACAAUAGUAUGCAUUGGGAUAUGCUACUACUGAAAACAGAACAAUCUGUUUUUGUGGCGUCCAAGCAUAAAAGCUAUUGUCACACAGCGAGGUCUGAUUUCCAACUGUGAAUCAAAUUGCUCGAGGUACUUCAUAUGCAGAUCGCUGCAAGUGGCUUUGGCCAUCAAUCUCCUUCAGGGGAUGAUAAUAUUGAGAUUGCAGUGAAGGUUUGGGUGUUUGUCACAAUGCCUGUUGAAGCGUCAUCAGAUGAUAUUUAGUCAUCAGAUGAUAUUUAAUGACAGAUAGGGUAUCUGUGGGGUUGAAAUCUCAUUACAUGCGGCAACACAGUUCUUGAUAUUUAAUGACAGAACGGUAAGCGAACUUUAUAUGUAGUUUUUUCCCUUCUCAUGGGUUCAUUUGUAAGUGUCCCAAUUUUCAAACAGAUGAAUAAUGGAUGGUGAAAGUGUCCUACACAUCAUAGAACAAAGAACAAGGAACAAGGAUCAGGAGUUCCCUUUACCUCUUGGGAUCUGUGUUGACACAUCCAUCUCAAAUUUCACUACUUGCAUUUUCUUUUGGGAAGUUUUUAUUGAGGACAGAAUAAUAAAUUAGCAUAUAGCUCUGUGAUAUCUGUCUAACCAUGCUGGCUUUUCCAUUUUGCAGAUUUGCAUGCUAGAUUUAGUGCUUAAACUAUCACUGGAAGAUUCUAAAGAGCCUCAAACAGCCCACAUCCUUCUUUAAAAGUUAGAUUUAUGAUCAGACUGAUCAAGGGUUGACUCAUUUUCUCUUGAAUCUGAUCAAAUCCUUCGACUCUCAUACUAACCCAAAAGGUUUCCCCUUUCAUUUCAACAACUUAGAAGUUCAUUGUUGAUGAUGAUGUUGCUGUUAUAUUCAUUAUUAUUACAACUAAUUUGAUAAGCAAUUAUUGUUAUUAUUUUUCUUUAUCUUAUAACACAAUCAUAUGAUAAAUGGAAUAUAAUGUCAUGACUGCAUUGAAAUUCUUGACCAAACAGAAAAAUGGGAAAUUUUGCUGUCUAUUUUAAAGCAUUGUAAUCAAUAUAGGGUAUCAUGAUGAUGAAUCAAGUCAACCUUGCCCCUACACUUUUGUGGUUGUGAAUGCAUUGAAAGAAAGUAAUAAUUCAGUCUGUGAAUCAAACAGGCCAUUAGUUCUUCGAAAGACUGAUACUCGAGAUGAAUGGGAAUUUGAGGCUGUAAGGCUGGGACGAUGAUGUAAACGGCACUCGCCAAUGGGUUCCUGAAUGGUCUGCAGUUUCUAAUCCAUGUGAUAUUGCUGGGGCUUGCCCUGUGUAGCUUGGACUGAAGCAAAACUAAUGCCUCCAGCAUGUACAUGCCUGCUGGGGGCUUCUAAUGUGGGAGACGGCGGCCAGUGCUCAGAGAAUUCUUCGGUGUCAACCGCGAGAUGUGAUAAUAAUCAUCGGAAUUCGACUGCUUCCAAGCUGAAGAUGUCGAUAGUGCAGCAAACUAAGUACUAUUAUCUCAUUUUUCCGAUUAUAGCAAAUUACAGUAACAUCUCGCCAUUAUCACAGUGCGGUGAUGCUUGUUUAUCAGACUGUGAUUGUGCUGCUUCCGUGUUGGCUGCUAAACAACUUGGAGUUUGGUGGAUUCGAGGACACGAGUUCGACCUUGUUUGUGAAGGUUGGGCCUAAGGGAUCACCUGGAGGCAACGCAACAGGAUUUGGGGAUUCAUCUGAUGGCCUCUGAGACAAGGUCUUAGUUCUUCCAAUUGUUCUCAGCAUGACUGUCCUUGUAGGACGACUCUGCUUCUUGUUAUACCACAGUGUGUACAGGAGGAGGGCCUUGAAGAGAGCCCUGGAAAGCCCCUUGAUUGUGUCCGGCGCUCCAAUAAAUUUCAGUUACUGUGAUUUGCAGUGCAGAACCGGCAAUUUGCACAGGUCAGCAUGUACAUAUACAUAUAUAGACUUUGAAAAGGAUGAAAUUGCUUGAACAAAGCCAAUUAGACUUGAUCAAUGAGGAUUAAUGUUGUCUUCUUUUUUUUUUUUUUUUUCAUGAGAGUUUGGGAGUGUAUACAAGAUGGGACAUUGGUUGCAGUGAAGAAGCUUGACAAGCCUCUUGGGAAGAAGGAAUUCAUAACUGAAGUGAAAACUAUUGGCUCUAUGCAUCACAUGAACCUGGUUCAACUCUGCGGCUACUGCUCAGAAGGCUCUCACCAGUAUGCAUUUCAUUUCAUUGCCUAAUACCAAUUACCACUAACCAUAUUUAAAUUCUUAUCAUCCUCUUUGGGGGUCAAGCAUACUAUAUCUUCGAGCUUGUAAUGGGGUUGGAAUUUGAUGAUUCUUCACAGGCUUCUGGUUUAUGAGUUCAUGAAAAACGGUUUCUUGGACAAGUGGAUAUUUCCCUCAAAGCAUUGUCGGGACAGACUGCUAGAUUGGGGAACUCGCUUCCAUAUAGCCAUUGCUACUGCACAAGGUAUUGCUUAUUUUCAUGAGCAGUGCAGGAACCGGAUCAUCCACUGUGAUAUCAAGCCCGAAAACAUACUUCUAGAUGAGAAUUUCUAUCCAAAAGUUUCAGACUUUGGACUAGCAAAGCUGAUGGGCAGAGAGCAUUGACAUGUAAUCACUAUGGUGAGAAGAACUAGUGGUUAUUUGGCUCCAGAAUGGGUGAGCAACCGACUUGUUACUGUAAAAGCCGAUGUCUACAGUACAGAUAGCUUCUUUUGGAGAUCGUUGGUGGCUGGAGAAACCUUGACAUGACUUUUGAUGAAGAAGACUUCUUCAAUCCUGGGUGGGCUUUUAAGGUAUAGAUCAGUCAAGUUCUUGCUUUUGUAAAUCACAAAUUGUUAAGUGUUUGAUAUUUUAUUAACAAAAAUGUCAAUUCCUCUAGGAAAUGAGUAAUGGGACGACGAGAAAAGUUGCAGACAGGCGAUCGACUGGAAGGGGCAAUGGAGGAAGAAGAGCUGGAAGAGCAUUGAAAACCGGCUUUUGGUGCAUUCAAGAUGAGGCUUUCAUGAGGCCUUCAACGGGGGAAGUGGUGAAGAUGUUGGAAGGAUCACUUGAAAUCAACACACCGCCAAUGCCACAGACAGUGCUGUAGCCCAUGGACGAAGGCCUAGACAAUGUAUACAGAGCCAUGAAGAGAGAGUUCAACCAGUCCAGCUUCAUCACCAUCAAUAGUACCCAUCCUUCAUCAAGGGCUACAUGUAGUUAUUCCACAAUGUCACCAAGAUAGCAAAGGAGAAAUGGAACAAAUUUUGUUGCUGUCCAAGAAUUUUAUCCCCAUGAUACUUUGAUACUGUCCAGAAACAUAGUAUUUAUUGACCAUUUGUUAAACUAGUAGAGAACUUUGCAUAAUGUUGUUGCUAAGAUUUCAAAUGGUAAAAGAAAUUAUAUUAAUUGCGAAACAAAAACAUAAACAAUUAGGUUGAGGUACGGAAAUCUCGUUCUUUUAAAGGAGAUUUAAGCCAUUUCUAGUUUGACAAUUUCAGAAAUCGGUAUACUUGACUUCUCUUUGGUUUGUCCCCUCAAGGAUACAAUGGUCCAAGUGAUUUGUUGCAUAGCUCACGUCAAUAUGCAUAAAGCAUAGAACUCAAAGCUAGCGGUUCACAAACAAACCUAUUUUUUUUGGCCAAGAGAAAAUAAAUAAAUAAAAAGGAAGAAGGCAGAAGAUGACUAAAAAAAUGUGUUAAAGUUAUAUGACAUUAGGAGGGUGAGUCAAGGCUAAUCAUAAAGUUUGAAAUGUUCAACAAUUUCAAAAUAAUUCAAUCUCGAUAAAUCCCAUUAACAUAAAUGAUAUUUAAUAUUUUUUAAUUUCCAUAAUUUUACAUUUGUAACUACAAAUUUAAUAACCCAUUAUGCCAACUUUAAUCCCUAUAACUUUCAUAUAUAACCACAACGUUAGUAACUAGUUUCUUUAAUCCCAAAUCUCCAUUUUUUUGAACUUUUAAAAACUUUUUUGGACCUCAUAUGACUUAGAUAUUGAUUUGAUAGGUUAAUUAUGCUUAGGGGGUGUUCAAUUGAUGCUUGAAAAAAAUCAAAAUAAAAAAAGACUAAGAAAUGAGUAAGGAUACAAAGCAUGUCAAAAUAUGAUAUCCCACAUCGGAUAUGGAAGAAAGUUCUUGACACUAUAUAUGUAGAGACUCCUCUUAAUUAUGUAAACGUGUCUUAAAACCAUGAGGGUCCCUUUGGGUUUAAAGCGAACAAUAUCUAUACUACGAAAAAUGUGAUGAAUUCUCGCAUUCUUCAUACCCUCCUCCACUUCUUUGAACUUUAAAAAAAAAAAUUGAACAUCAUAUGAUUUUGAUAUUGAUUAAAUAGGUUAAUUACACUUGGUGGGUAUGAGAUUAAUGCCCGAAAGAAUUGAAAUCGAAAAUUUAAAAAAAAUUUUGAGGAUUCCUCACACUCUUCAUACCUUAUCAAAUUUCCACUUCUUUCAAUUUUUGAAAUCUUUUUUGAAUGUCAUAUGGAUUGAAUAUUGAUUAAAUAAGUUAAUUUAGAAGGUGUGAAAUUGAUGUCUGAAAAAAUCAAAAUCCAAAAAUAUUAAAAAAUUAGCAAAGAGUGUGGAAUUCCUUAUUGCUACUAAUUAUAUUAUUAUUAUUAUUUUGUAUUUUCAAUACUUCAACCAAUAUUUGAUGUGAUUAAAUUUAAAAUGUAAGAAAGAAUUUAUUAAUACAAUUUUCAAUUAAUAAUUAGUACACAACUAUCUUAAUUUUUAAACAUUGUAUACUUAUUUAAAUUUAUUUUCAUAUUUUUAUAAAAGUGUAAUUACACUUACAAUUUAUUGAAAUUUUUGUAAAGCUCCUGAGACGUAAAGGUUAUAUCACGAUACUGAAUUCUGCUAUGCUCGCCUUUCAAGCUCUGAUGCUCCACGCCUGCAGCUCCGUUCUUUGCAACUGAAAUACACCAUUAGCUAUGUCCGCCUGUGAUUAAUGCUCUUGCCAAUGGAGCCGGUGAAAUUUAUUUACAUUGUUUUUCUUUCCAAAGUAUUUUUUUAGAUGGAAAGAAAAAGAGACAAAUUAUAAAAAAUAAAUCUCCAAUACCAAUAUUUAAAAAUGAUUUAUCUAUUUGUCAACACAAUUUGAGUGGAAGAAUAAUCAAGACAUGUGAAAAUCUAUAUAUCAGGAAUCAAAUAGGGCCCAAGAACAGGUUCCAACAAGAACCAUCAAUGGGUUGCCCAAUCAAUAACAAAAGGCCCGGUCUCAUGGAUCACACAAAAUGGAGUCACCACACGAUAGGUUUAAACCCAAAUAUAAAUUUCAAGUUCAUAUUUUCAAUCCCAUUUAUAAUUUAUUUAUUCAAAUUAGAAAUCUAUUUAUCAAGAAUUAAGUUAGAGUGCAUGGAGACCAAAGUUAAGAGAGAGGAUCAUGCCAAGAUUUAAAAUGAACAAAAUAUUUAUGAUUUAUCUAUAAUAAAUAUUCAAAUAAUAUUAAAAAAAAAACUAAUUAUUUUGAUGAUCAUAAAAUAUAUCAUUAUUGAAAUACAAACAAAUUUAAAUAAUAAAAUCUUUUUUUAUCUUAAUAAUUAAAAGUUACAUAUUUAAUAAAAUUAAAAUUACUAAUAAUUUAAUAAAUCUUUGUGUCAUUCUUAUCAUAAUUUAAGUUGUCAACAUUAAUGAUAUAAGAUGAUGAAAUGUAUUUAAAUUUUUUAAUUAUUUAUAUAUUUUUAAUUUCUUAUAAUUAGUUUAAAUUUUAAUAAUAUAUAAAUUAUAUAUUUAUGAGAUUACCAAUUUGAUCACUGUUUAACCAUAAAUCAAUAAUUUUUCUCAUUGAAUAAUCAAUCUAAUUCUAAAAACAUUGAUAAAAACUAAAGAAUCUUUAUUAUAAAAAAAAUAAAAGAUGUAAAAAACAAAUAAUUUGACUAGUCAAAGUAAAGGUCAUGGGUGACUUUUGGAAGCCUAGAAUAACAUAGGAAAUGUACAAGAAAUCAUUGAGCUUGCCAUUUAUUUCAGUAUUUGGAGGAUAAUAUUUAAUUUUUAAUCAUAUAAAAACAAAAGUAUAUUUAAUUCAUUAUUUUCUAAUAUUAUCUUAGAAAUAUUUUUAGAGAUAUAUUUAUUUUAGAACUUAUUGAGGAUAUUAAUACAAUGAAUUUGAUAAAUGUAAUAUAAAAAUGUAUAAAGUCAUUAAUUUUUUUUAUUUAUUAAAUUUGAAAUAUACAUAUCAUGUAGUAAUUUUUUGAAAAAAAAGAUUACUUUUAUAAAGCCAAUUCAAGGAAAAAGAAAACAUAACACUAUCCUCACUUCUCCGUGGUGUUUUAUUUCAUAUUAGAAAUCCUUCUAAUAAAAUUUCCUUUCUAAAAAUUUUAAAAAUAUUUUUUAUAACUACAAAAAAAAAAAAAAAAAAAAAAAAAAAAGCAUUACACUUAUCUUAUUCAUUACACUUUUAGAUUAUGUUGGUUUUAUUGGGAGCAGGGGGAAGGGAAUGGGAAGGAGAAAGUAGGUUUGCUUACUUGGAAAUGCUAUUUACAGAGAGACGGGGGUUUAGCCAGCUGAGAUUUGAAACAAAGAAAGGAAAGCUGGUGAUGGUGGAUUGAAUAUAGAGAAUGUGGGGUUUUGGGGUUGGGAGGCAUAUAUUCUUGACUGUUACGGUAACAACAUUUAUGAAAUGGACACAGCCUCCCUGAUGGUAGUACUCCAAAACGAUGUCGUUUCAGGACCCAAAAAGACAGGGUUUUAUCUCCCUCACCGCAUUGUAAUUAUUAUUAUUACGAUGGUUAAAAUUAGGAGUCAAUUUCUUGGGAUAUUCCACUAAUAAAAAAUAAAUAUAUUAUUUAUUUUAUUUUAUUUUUUAUUUCACUUAUCUUAUCAUAUUGUAGACCCCCCAUACGGUGAGGGCUUUUGGGUUUUUUUUGUUUUUGUUUUUUUUGUUUUUUAUUUUAUUCUUCUGACCACCCUAGAAAUUAAGCUGCAUGGGGCGGCAGAUGGGAUGGGUGGCAGGGGGCAAGCGGUGGCUUGCUGAGGAAGACGAGAGAAAAUAAAAAAAAAAAGAGGAAAAGGAAAAGGGAGAUCUGCAGAGGGUGGGAGGACUUUUCCGGAGAGCAGAAGACACCACUGUCAGUUGGAGGGCUCAGGUAUGGCCAUCUUCUCAAUUUUGGGUCUUUCUUUUUCGCUAUUUUUACUCAAUUCAUGCUGUGAAUCUAUUCUUCUCUGUCAUUGGGCUUGUUGAUUAUUGCUUUGGCACCUUUCUCUCCGAACCCCAUGCUCGUCCCUGCCUCACCCACGUCCCACGCAUGGCCGUCACCCUCACCUAUCUUCCUCAUCACCUCUUUCUCCCUCUAAUCGCCAUACCCGACUCCACAAGGACUCCCAAGGUCGCUCUUCUGCACGCAUGGAGUCCAAGCAAGCAUGCUGCCCCUCCCCGCAUCUCCUUGCUGCGCGCACCGCGCCGACGAGGCGCUUGCUCGUCUCACCAGCCGUUGCCUCGCCGCCAACCGCCAUCACCCGCUCCGGCUACGCUCACAUCUGCUCUUGCUCCGGGACCGCGUCGCCGCUGCCAUCGCUCCAGGACCACGCCGCCGCUGCAAUCGCUCCAGGACUACGCCGCCGCCGCCAUUACCCGCGACAGCGCCACCGCUGCCAUAGCCCGCGGCAGCGCCACCGUCUUCGCCUGGAAGGGCGAGAUCCUCCCGAGGCCUAGGAGCUGUCCACCAAGCUUGGAGAAAUCCGUGACUCCGAGCACCGUCGCCGCAGCCAGACGCGAGGGGGGGGGGGGGGGGGGGAACUAGGAAGAAGAUGAAGUCUUGUUGGGCUUGGGCUAAGGCUAGGCCCAAUUUGUGUUUGGUUUUGGCUAGGCCCAGUUUUGAGUUUGGUUUUGGGUUUGGGUUAUGAAGGCUUUGGGCUUGGGUUUGAGUUUGGAGCCCAGGCCCAAGCCUAUGCUGAAGAUGGGGCCUUUGUCUUGAGCCCAUUUCUAUUAUUACCAUAAUUAUUAUUAUUGUUAUUUUUAAUUAUUAUUGUCAUUGCUAUUAUUAUUACUAUUAUUAUUAAUCAUUGUUAUCAUUAUAUUUACUACUAUUAUUAUUAAUCAUUAUUAUCAUUAUAAUUAUUAUUAUUAUUAUCAUUAAUUAUUAUUGUCAUUGCUAUCAUUAUUAUUAUUGCUAUUAUUAUUACUAUUAUUAUUAAUCAUUGUUAUCAUUAUAUUUAUUAUUAUUAUUAUUAAUCAUUAUUAUCAUUAUAAUUAUUAUUAUUAUUAUCAUUAAUUAUUAUUGUCAUUGCUAUCAUUAUUAUUGUUAUUAUGAUUGUUGCUAUUAUUAUUAAUCAUUGUUAUCAUUAUAUUUAUUAUUAUUAUUAUUAAUCAUUAUUAUAAUUAUAAUUAUUAUUAUUAUUAUUAUUAUUAUUAUUAAUUAUUAUUGUCAUUGCUAUCAUUAUUAUUAUUAUCGGCAUUAUGAUUGUUACUAUUAUUAUUAAUCAUUGUUAUCAUUAUAUUUAUUAUUGUUAUUAUUAAUCAUUAUUAUCAUUGUUAUUAUUAUUAUUAUCAUUAUUAUCAUUAAUUAUUAUUAUCAUUAUUAUUAACUCAACUUUCAAAAUCUAUUUAUCAUUAUUAUUAUUAUCAUUAAUCCAAACUUUCAACACCUAUUCAUUAUUAUUAAUUAUUAUCAUUAAACCCAACUUCCAAAAUCUCAUCAUUAUCAUUAUUAUCAAUUCACAUUUUCAACACCUAUUUAUUAUUAUUUAUUAUUAUCAUUAGUCCAAACCUCCAAGAUCUCAUCAUUAUUAUUAUAAUUAACUCAACUUUCAAAAAUCUAUUUAUUAUUAUUAUCAUCAUUAAUCCAAGCUUUCAAAAACCUCAUCAUUAUUGUUAUUAUUACCUCAACUUUCAAAAUAUUAUUAUUAUUAUUAUUAUUAUUAUUAUCAUUGAUUAAUACUUUCAAAACCUUAUUAUUAUUAUUAUUAUUAUUAUUAAUUCAAACUUUCAAGACCUUAUUAUUAUUAUUAAUUCAAACUUUCUAACUUCCAAUUUCCAAGCCCAAUUUAUAAAAAUUCAACCUUCAAAUAAUACUUCAAAAUUCCGACAUUUAAAAUUCAAUUCCAAUUUCCGAAAAUUCUCAUACUCACUUUAAUUUAUUUAAUCACUAAUACUUUAUUCAUUUAUUUUUAAAACUCCAUUCUUAAUCUAUUUAUUUAAAAUUUCUGUUUGCCGAAUUAAAUUCCGAAAAUUCCCAUUCUCACUUCAAUUUAUUUAAUCACUAAUACUUUAUUCAUUUAUUUUUAAAAACUCCAUUCUUAAUCUAUUCUUUAAAAUUUCCAUUUACCGAAUUAAAUCCCGAAAAUUCCUAUACUCACUUUAAUUUAUUUAAUCACUAAUACUUUAUUCAUUUAUUUUUAAAACUCUAUUCUUAAUCUAUUCUUUAAAAUUUCCAUUUACCGAAUUAAAUUCCGAAAAUUCCUAUACUCACUUUAAUUUAUUUAAUCACUAAUACUUUAUUCACUUAUUUUAAAACUAAUCUAUUCUUUAAAAUUUCCGUUUAUCGAAUUACAUUUCUAUUUUUGAAAAUUCCAGUAUUCACAUUAAUUUAUUUAAUUAUUAUUAUGUUAUUUAUUUAUUCUAAAAUUCUAUUUUAAACAAUUCAUUUAAAACUUUCGAUCUCUGAAUUAAAUUUCUAUUUCUGAAAAUUUCACUAUUCACAUUAAUUUAUUUAAUUAUUAUUAUGUUAUUUACUUAUUCUAAAAUUCCAUUUUAAACAAUUCAUUAAAAUUUCCGACUUUCGAUUUUAAUUUCUAAUUCCAAAAACUCCAAUAUUCGCAUUAAUCUAUUUAAUUAUUAUUAUUUUAUUUAUUUAUUCUAAAAUUCUAUUUUAAACAAUUCAUUUAAAACUUUCGACUUCCGAAUUAAAUUUCUAUUUCUGAAAAUUUCAAUAUUCACAUUAGUUCAUUUAAUUAUUAUUAUUUUAUUUAUUUAUUCUAAAGUUCCGUUUUAAACAACUCAUUAAAAUUCUCGACUUCUGAUUUAAUUUAUAAUUCCAAAAUUCCAAUACUCACAUUAAUCUAUUUAAUUAUUAUUAUUUUAGUUAUUUAUUUCGAAAUUCCAUUUUAAACAAUUCUUCAAAAUUCAAAAUUCGGAACUUAAUUUCCAAUUUCCAAAAUUCUAAUUUCUUUCAAAUUUAAUAUCCAAAAUUCCAAUUCUUAAAUUUAAUUCUCAAGACUCCAAUCUUCAAAUAAUUUUCGAGACUCCGAUUUCCAAAUAAAUAUCCAAAAUCAAGUUUUUACUCCAAUAGUUUUAAUUCCAUUUCGGUUCUUAAAUAAUCUUUUGAUCUUCUGGAUUUUACAUAAGCAAUAAUGAAUUCUUCAUAAUUCUAAAACAUGGAAUUUGUGAGAUUAGUUCAUGAACAAUAAAUUGGGCUUUGGUGGGGGGGCCAUAUGAUUGAUCCCUAUUGAUUGUCAACUGUUGUGCUUGAUAUAUUUUGCUCGAUCUUCAUUUUGCGCUCCGAUAUGCAUGAGCUAUAAUUCGUAUUCGUUAAUUGUGUACUAAUCCCGUUUCUUGAUAGCGCAUUGUGGCUCGUGGCUCAGGUACGCACACAUUUUCAUUUUGAUCAUUCUCUAUGCAUGUUGGAUUUUCAUAUGUGCAUGAUUUGACUUAGGCAUCCAUUGAUUGUCACGUCGGCUUCAUUUUAUUAGUAGAGACCCGACUUUAGGGGCUUAGAGGGGUGCUACGGUCUUUACCGUACCUUCCCGAUGAGUAACCUGACCCCCGAACCCGAUCCGAUUUUUCACAGACCACCUUUUCCAAAAUAAGGAGUCACACUUAGGGUUUUUCUUUCUUAUUUUGUUUACCCUUUUAAAAUAAAACAAAAAUAAGUGGCGACUCCAAGUCAUUUUCAAAUAGUCAAUAAAAAUCAAUUUUCCUAAAUAAACAUCGAGCUCGCCAUUGAGUGGGAAACGCAUUGAGCCGAAAUGCGGGGUCCACACAUAUAUUUAACUAAAUAUGACAUAAGAUAAACUAUGAGAUAUAUUAUUUGUUUUAUUUUUUAUAAAUAUGUUAAUACCAAGUUAAAUUAUAUAAAAUACACAUAUCCCCUGUAUUAUAAAUUUAUUUAUUUAUUUAUCUAUUUUUAAUUUAUAAAAUAAUUUUUUUAUAAUAAAAUAUAAUUUAUGGUUAAAAAGAACUCAAAAAUUUAUAAAAUAUAUUAUAAAAUAAUAUUAAUUAUAUGUAUUAUUUAAUAUAUAAAUUAUUUUUAUAUAUUUCAAAUAACAUAAUAUAAAAAAAUUAUUUAUAAAGUUUAAAUAUUUUAAUCAUGAAUAUUUUUAUAUUUUUUUAAAUAAAAAAUAUUAGAAUAUAAUAUAAAUUUUAUUUUAAAAUUUUAAAAAUAAUAUAUAUUCUAUUUUAUGUUUUUAUUCAUUUUAUAAACUAAAUAUAAAUCUAAUAUAACAUGUUUUAUUGGAUAUCUUAGUUUAAGAUAUCAUAUCCAUUGCAUAUAAUAUAUCACAUUCAAUUGAAAAUCAUAUAGCAUGAGAUAUGAUAUUUCAAGAUAUAUAUACAUAUAUAUUUUAUCCAAUGAACCAACAUAAUCUAAAUUAGUUAUAAAAUAUAUUAUUUUUAAAAGUGUUUAUUUCUUAGUCAUUACACUUUAUUAUUAUUAUUAUUAUUAUUAUUAUUAUUAUUAUUAUUAUUAUUAUUUUCUUUAUUUUUUUCACAUGCAAUGAUAGUUUCUAGUCAUCAUGCCUUGCAAGACCCAAUACUCACAAAAUUUACAAGUUUACUCAUCAUAUCUUUUAAAUUUUUUGUUACUCCUAAAGUAUUCAAGACUUUUAGCAAUGUCAUAUCCUUAUCACUACAACUAACAACUUUGACCAAUUCAAAAAAUGAACUUCACAUGCAAUAGUAGUUCUAAUCAUCAUGUCUUGCAAGACCCGAUAGUUACAAAAUUUUCAAGUCUACUAUUCAUCAUAUCUUUUAAAAUUUUGGUUACUCAUAAAGUAUUCAAGACUUUUAGCAAUGUCAUAUCCUUAUCAUUAUAACUAAGAACUUUGCCCAAUUCAAAAAAUGAACUUCUCAUGCAAUAGUUCUAGUCAUCAUGCCUUGCAAGACCCGAUAGUUACAAAAUUUUCAAGUCUACUACUCAUCAUAUCUUUUAAAAUUUUGGUUACUCAUAAAGUAUUCAAGACUUUUAGCAAUAUCAUAUCCUUAUCAUUACAACUAAGGACUUUGCCCAAUUCAAAAAAUGAACUUCACAUGUAAUAGUAGUUCUAGUCAUCAUGCCUUGCAAGACCCGAUAGUUACAAAAUUUUCAAGUCUACUACUCAUCAUAUCUUUCAAAAUUUUGGUUACUCAUAAAGAAUUCAAGACUUUUAGCAAUGUCAUAUCCUUAUCACUACAACUAAGAACUUUGCCCAAUUCAAAAAAUGAAUUUCACAUGCAAUAGUAGUUCUAGUCAUCAUGCCUUGCAAGACCCGAUAGUUACAAAAAUUUCAAGUCUACUACUCAUCAUAUCUUUUAAAAUUUUGGUUACUCAUAAAGUAUUCAAGACUUUUAGCAAUGUCAUAUCCUUAUCACUACAAUUAAGAACUUUGACCAAUUCAAAAUAUGAACUUCACAUGUAAUAGUAAUUUUAGUUAUCAUGCCUUGCAAAACCCGAUACUUACAAAAUUUUCAAGUCUACUACUCAUCAUAUCUUUUAAAAUUUUGGUUACUCAUAAAAUAUUCAAGACUUUUAGCAAUUCAAAAGUGCAUGCUUUAGAAAGUUAUUACUUUUUGUAGUUUAAAUGUGAGUGUUAUGUAUUUGUCUUUUCACAUAUUUAUAUAUAACCUAGAUGGCCAAUCAGGCCAUUACCAUACAAUUUUUUUUUUUUUUUUAUAUAUAAUCUCAUAAAGCAUUUUCAAUUUUUUUUUAUAAUGUAUAUAAAAUAAUGUCAAUCCAUUUACACUUACGAAAAUGAUUUUUCUUAAAAAUGUCAAAGGCAACGAGGUAUGAAUAUUUUUAUAUCUGGAAACUGCAGGGACCCACUAAGGGGAGUACAUGCUAUUAGUGUCGGUGAGGAGAAGAUAGAGGAAACACAUUGGGGGGUGAGUCAAGGAGGAAGGGGCGUGCCGCCCUGCCGGGAGCGUGGUGGCAUGAAUUACUUGGGCGGAGCGAGAUGUCACGUGGACCGCGCUUUGCGCGGACACGCGGCGACCUGCAGAUCCGGAGGGGCGACGUUGUCUAACGAAUUUUAGAAAUUCGUGCCACUAGCCAUAUGGAUUUUGGACUAAAAUAAAAAACAAGACUUUAUUUUUGUUAUUUCUUUUAUAAGGAUGUCAUAAUUAAUAAUUCAAAAAUGUUAAUAAUUAAUUAUUAAAGAGAUUUUUGCUACUCUUCGAAAUUAUAAAAAAGUUUAUACACUCAUAAAACAAAUAAAUGUAUCUUCUAAUAAAUAAAUUUUUAUUAAAAUAAAUAAAUAUAUAUCUAAUUUUGAAUUUAUUAAUAUGAAGUAAAUUGUAUGUAUCUUAAGUUAGAUUUCUUAUUGAUUAAAAAAAAAGACCAUUCAAGGUUUAGCUAGAUGAAAAAAAAAUCUUUAUUUAUUAGAAAAUUCAAUUUUUUUUGAAUGAUGAAUCAUUGAUAAUGAUAUAUAAAAAUAAUUUAUAUAUCAUAUAUUAAUAUUACUUUAUAAAUAUUUUUAGUUUUUCUUUUUUAACCAUAAAUUUAAUUUAUAAUUAAAAAAAUUAUUUUAUAAAUGGUAUCUCUUGUCAUCAUACCUUUCAAGACUCUAAGCUCAUAAAAAUUUUCAGUAUUUUCAUCAUAUCUUUUAAAAAGCCAUGUAUAACGGGUCUUUUUUUUCUUAAGUUUAAGUCAAUAAAUCAAAUUAAAAAAAAUAAUAAACUUUCAUUAUUGUAUUUUAUAUUGUAGCGAGAGACUUAAAAAGUCAUGUAUAACAAGUCUUCCUUUCAUAAGUCAAGUCAAUAAAUAGAAUUAAAAGAAAUAAUAAAUUUUCAUUAUUGUACUUUGUCUUGUAGCAAGAGACUUAAAAACCCAUGUAAGAGGUCUUCAUUUCUUAAGUCAAGUCAAGUCAAGUCAAUAAAUCGAAUUGGAAGUUUUUCCUUUUCUCUUUUUUUAAACCAACUUCUACUAUUACUUUUAUUAAUUAUUUUGAUCAUUUGAUUAAAUAUUAAAUUAUUAUUAUUUUUUUUCAAGUACAAACCAUUUCAUGUUAAAAAAUUUAAAGUGGAUCUAACUUUCUUUACAAGUUAAGAUAUCUUGAUAAAGGGAUAAAUAAUGGAUUGUAAUAUUUCAACUUUAAUUAAGUUAAUUUAUCAAUAUUCAAACUAAGUUGGAGAAAAAAAAAAAACAAAGACAACACCUCAAUUUUAGUUUUCCAUUACACAUGGUUAUUUCUUUUUCUUCUUUUUCCUUUGCUUCUUUGACACGCAAUGGUAUCUUUAGUCAUCAUACAUUAAAAAAAACAAGAUAAAGAAACAUUAGUCUACAUUGAGUGUGUUAAUAUGAAGUACAUUUUGUAGAUGAUGAAUCAUUGAUGAAGAUAGGCUAAGGAAUUUUUUCGGUCUAUAGAAUGACUUGUUAAUUAAAGUUGGAAUAUUAUAGUACUUUAUUUUUAUUAUCUCUUUAUCAAGAUGUCUUAAUUAAUGAUUCAAAAAUGUUAAUAAUAUCAUAAAAGAUAUUUUUUCUACUCUUGAAAAUUAUAAAAAAAGUUUAUACACUCAGAAAACAAAUUAUCUUCUAAUAAAUAAAUUUUAUUAAAAUAAAUAAAUAUAUGUCUACUUUGAAUUUAUUAAUAUGAAGUAAAUUGUAGGUAUCUUAAGUUAGAUUUCUUAUUGAUAAAAGAAAAAGACCAUUCAACAUUUAACUAGAUGGAAAAAAAAUCUUUAUUUAUUAGAAAAUUCAAAUUAUUUUUUGAAUGAUGAAUCAUGGAUAAGGAUAAAUACUCUAGAUGGGUCAAAUAUGGUAGAUAACUUGGUUCCAAUAAAUAUUACAUUAAAUUUUUUUGGAACUUAUAUUUCUGCUAACUAAAAGCAACCUCUAUAUGGAUUCAAUAUAGAGGAUGGUGUGACCGUAAAGUUAUUUCUUUAAAUUUUUGGCCGUAUAUUGUCACUUAACUACCACUUAUAAUAAUAAUAAUGAUGAUGAUGAUAGAGGAAACUGCAUGGGACCCACGAAGGCAUGGGGAGUACACGCUAUUGGUGUCGGUGAGGAGAAGAUAGAGGAAACACAUUGGGGGGUGAGUGAGGGAGCAAGGGCGGGAUGGAGUCAACAAGAGUGUUGACUGAGGAUAAUAAAGGGGCACGCCGCCCUGCCGGGAGCGUGGUGGCAUGAAUUACUUGGGCGGAGCGACAUGUCACGUGGACCGUGGCGACCUGCAGACCCGGAGGGGUAGCGUUGUCUAACGGAUUUUAGAAAAUUCGUGCAACUAGCCAUAUGGAUUUUGGAAUAAAAUAAAAAAUAAGACUUUAUUUUUGUUAUUUCUUUUAUCAAGAUGUCUUAAUUUAUAAUUCAAAAAUGUUAAUAAUAAAUUAUAAAAGAGAUUUUUGCUACUCUUCGAAAUUAUAAAAAAGUUUAUACACUCAUAAAACAAAUAAAUGUAUCUUCUAAUAAAUAAAUUUUUAUUAAAAUAAAUAAAUGUAUAUCUACUUUGAAUUUAUUAACAUGAAGUAAAUUGUAGGUAUCUUAAGUUAGAUUUUUUAUUGAUUAAAGAAAAAGACCAUUCAAGGUUUAACUAGAUGGAAAAAAAAUCUUUAUUUAUUAGAAAAUUAAUUUUUUUUUAAUGAUGAAUCAUUGAUAAUGAUAUAUAAAAAUAAUUUAUAUAUAUCAUAUAUUAAUAUUAUUUUAUAAAUAUUUUUAGUUUUUCGUUUUUAACCAUAAAUUUAAUUUAUAAUUAAAAAAUUUAUUUUAUAAAAUAAAUAUAUAAAAAAAUAAAUUUAUGAUAUAUGAGAUAUACAUAUCUUAUAUCUUAGUAUAGAAUUAACAUAUUUCGUGUAAAAGGAAUAAAAAAAGAGUGAAUAAUAUAUUUCACCACUUAAACUAUCUCAUCAUUAAUUAAAUAUAAAAUUUGAUGUAAUAUCUUCUCUUUUAUCCUGUAUGAUGUUACAUUUGAUCAACCAAACAUAACCUAUAAAGUUAAAAUUAUAGAAAUGAAAUGUAAGAGACCUUACUGAAAAAUAGAAAGUAAAAUGAUUGAUUUUUGAAAGUAAAUAUUGAUAAUAUUAUAAAAUUUUCACUAACAUAAAUUAAAAAAUUCAAGGAAAAAAAAAACAUAACACUAUCCUCACAAUUCCGUGAUAUUGUUUUUUUCAUAUUAGAAAUCCUUAUAAUCAACUUUCCUUUUUAUACGUUUUAAAAAGAAUUUUUAUUACUAAUUUAGAUUAAAAAAAAAAAAAAAAACCUUUCAACCAACCACACAUGUGACAUGGUGGUUGUUUUUAAAUUUCAAUAAAAGAUUUUAUAAUUAUUAAGAAAAGAAAAAAAUGUUAAAAAAAAAUGAUUAUUUUUUUUUAUUAUGAAAUAUACGAAAGUAAAAAUAUAUAAUUAAAAUUAAUAAAAAAACUAAUAUAUUUUAAAAUUAUUUACUUUUUAUUUUUAAAAAUUAAAUAAAUAAAAUAAAUUUAAAAUAAAAUAUAAAAAUAAUUUAUUAAUUUUAAAUUUAUUUUUUAUUUCUCUCUCACUUGUUCUUUAAGACGUGUUGUGUGUAAAAUACCAUAAAACAAGUCAUAUCACCAUGCUCAAGAUUUCAACAUGGUAGGUGUAGGUUUUGAAGACUUUUCCAUAUGAUUAAUACUUGGAUACCUGAAUUUUCUUUGGGUGGGGUUGGGCUUCUGUAAGUUUCUCUGCAAUUUUCUCCUACUUGGAAACAAAGGAAUGGUCAAAGAGAGGAACUCAGUGAAGAGAAGAUUGAAACGGACUGGAUACACCCUCGCUUGCUCCGAAGGUUGGUAUGAUCUUCAUGGUCGGUAGGCCUUCUCAAGUCUCCAUGCAUGCCUCAUUUUUCCCAUAUGAUAAAUCAAUGGUAGGAAGAGCGAGCUUCACACGAACAAACACAAUAAAAUCAUUAAAUUUUUGGAAUAAUAAUAUGAUGAAGUUGAUAAAUGAUAAGGAUUAGGAAGAUGUUUAAUGAAAUUUUAAACUAAUAAUAAUUAGAUGUAUUUAACCUAAACUUUUGGAGAGAUUAAUGAAAUUAAUCAUAUAAAAAUUUCUCUAAUUUUAAUUUUAGAAUAAAUAUUAACAAUAUUUUUUUCAAAUAUAAAUAAUAAUAUUUGGAAAACAUCAUCAGUAAAUUGCCUUUUCAAUUUUUUGUCUAAUUGUCAUUUUAAAUGAAUAUUAAAAUCCUUUUAGUAAAAUUUAUGAAUUUAGUAAAAUAUUAAUAUCUAUAUUUUAUAAAUUUUAAUAAAGUUUUAUUAUUUUUAAUAAAAAAAAAAUUAUAUAAGUUGUGUUUGUCUUAUUAGUAUCACUAUUUACAAAAUUUAUCUUUAUAUUAUUUAUUUUAAAAAUUAUUAUUUAUUAAGAAUCAUUUUUAUAAAAGGUAAAAAAUAAUUACCAUAUAAAUAUAAAUUAAAAGUCGAGGUUAUAUUUGUUAAUUAUUUUUAAAAAGGGAUUUCAAAACAUUACUUUCUCCAAAAAUAACAAUAAUAAUAUUAUAAACACAAUAUUUACUCAAAAUAUUAUGUAAAUGAAAAACUUAAAAAUAAUAUAUAUUUGUUUUUUAAAAAAUAUUUUUAGUCAUAAUUAAAGGUCAUCUACUCAACAUGUUGGUGGGAAUGGUAUAUAAGUCAAUGCCUGCUUUGCUCACAAAUCAAAAACCAAAACUUGCUAAUCCUUGUUAUUACACACUAUCCUUGCUCUGUGUUGAACAUGGCUACAAGCCCCUUUCGAUAUUUUAUUUCCCUUUUUCUGCUUUUGCUCUGUUUCGAAGCCUGUUUGAGGGUGGGUGAUGCUACAGUUGGGUGCAGAGAGAGGGAGAGGCAAGCUCUCCUUCACUUCAAACAAGGUGUUGUCGAUGACGAUGGAGUGCUUUCUUCAUGGGGGAAUGGGGAAGACAAAAGAGAUUGUUGCAAAUGGGCAGGAGUGGAGUGUAACAACCAGACGGGUCAUGUGAUCAGGCUUGAUCUUCAUGACCAAUCUUUGGGAGGUAAGAUAUCUCAGCUUGGUCCUUCAUUGGCAGAGUUGCAGCACUUGAAGCAUUUGAACCUCAGCUAUAAUGAUUUUAAAGGUAAUUAUAUACAUAUAUACCUUGUGAAAAUUCAUCAGCUUGUCUCAGCAGAAUAUAAUUCUCUCUUUUCCCAAUUUUACAGGAAUUCUUCCCACUCAACUUGGAAAUCUUUCCAAUUUGCAAUCCCUUGAUCUCGGCAGUAAUUAUGGGCAUAUGAGCUGUGAGAACCUUGACUGGCUUUCUCACCUUCCUUCGUUAACACACCUUGACUUGAGUGGGGUUUAUCUUAGUAAAGCAAUCCACUGGCCACAAGCAAUUAAUAAAAUGCCUUCCCUAACUGAGUUAUACUUGAGUGAUACUCAGCUUCCUCCGAUUAUUCCAACAAUAUCCAUUUCCCAUAUUAAUUCUUCUACUUCUCUUGCUGUGCUUCAUCUCUCCUUGAAUGGUCUCACUUCUUCAAUAUACCCAUGGUUGUUCAACUUCAGUAGCAGCCUUGUUCAUCUUGACCUCUCUAUGACUGAUCUAAAUGAAUUAAUUCCGGAUGCUUUUGGAAACAUGACUACUCUGGCAUAUCUUGAUCUCUCUUGGAACGAGCUAUGUGGUUCAAUUCCGGAUGCUUUUGGAAACAUGACUACUCUGGCAUAUCUUGAUCUCUCUUUGAACGAGCUACGUGGUUCAAUUCCGGAUGCUUUUGGAGACAUGACUACUCUGGCACACCUUGACCUUCAUUCUAAUCAUCUAAAUGGAUCAAUUCCGGAUGCUUUUGGAAACAUGACUAGUCUGGCAUAUCUUGAUCUCUCUUCGAAUCAACUUGAAGGUGAGAUUCCGAAAUCCUUGACAGAUUUAUGUAAUUUACAGGAAUUAUCUCGGAACAAUCUCACUGGACUGAAGGAAAAAGAUUAUCUGGCCUGCCCUAAUCACACAUUAGAGGUUUUAGAUUUAUCUUAUAAUCAAUUGAAAGGGUCAUUUCCCGAUCUUUCUGGAUUUUCACAGUUGAGAGAAUUAGAUCUUGAAUUCAAUCAACUAAAUGGAACUUUACCUGAAAGUAUUGGACAACUAGCUCAACUUCAAGUGUUGUCCAUUCGUUCAAAUUCAUUGCGAGGCACUGUCUCGGCAAACCACCUUUUUGGUCUCUCCAACCUGUCUUACUUAGACUUAUCUUUCAACUCCCUUACAUUCAACAUAAGCCUUGAGCAAGUUCCCCAAUUUCGAGCCUCAGGUAUAAUGUUGGCCUCUUGCAAAUUAGGCCCACGUUUUCCUAAUUGGCUUCAAACUCAAGAAUUUUUUAGCGAACUUGAUAUCUCUGCUUCUGGAAUUUCAGAUGUCAUUCCCAAUUGGUUUUGGAAUUUAACUUCAGAUUUAAAAUCGUUAAACAUUUCCAACAAUCACAUCUCAGGGACAUUGCCCAAUUUAACUUCAUAUCCAUCUUAUUUGGGAAUGGAUAUGAGUUCAAAUUGCUUGGAAGGUUCAAUACCACAAUCUGUUUUCAAUGCUAGAUGGUUGGAUCUCUCCAAGAACUUGUUUUCAGGCAUUUCUUUAUCGUGUGGGACUCCUAAUCAGCCUGGUUGGGGUUUGGCUCAUCUUGACCUCUCAAAUAAUCGACUGUCAGGAGAACUACCCAAUUGUUGGGAGCAGUGGAAAGAAUUAAUUGUUCUUAAUUUGGCAAAUAAUAAUUUUUCUGGGAAAAUUAAAGAUUCAAUUGGCUUGUUACAU